rnacentral:lncRNA from 1 species
UAACACAAUGGCUUCCUGUCUCUCUUUCUACUUUGCUCUUACUGUUCUUCUGGCCACUGUGGUGGAUGCUUCGAAUUCCAUUUCUUCGACAUCAGAUGAGAAUGCGGACAUCUCUAAGUCACUGGUUGCAUGGUGGAAGCUGGAUGAGAAGAUAGGCCAUCUGGUCGCAGACUCGUCUGGGAACAAGGCAACUGGGCUUGUGGAGCAGGCCGGGUCCCAACUUGCUCACACAACUGAUGGUAUUGUGUUUGAUGGUGCAACAUACAUUUCCAUGGGCACCACGCCCUCUCUCUCUGGGCAGACUGAUUUUGCUGUUCAUGCUUGGGUGAAGGUCCCACCCCGCAUCAAGCAGGAACUGUGCAUCAUCCAGCAACGCUCUGAUCAUAUCUAUGGUGAGUGGUGGCUAUGGAUCCGCAAUGGCAGUCUAUGGUUUACGGUGUACAAUGAUGAGUUCCAGUUCAGAAUUGAGGGAACAGUGCCAGUCACUGAUGGAACUUGGCACCAUGUUGCUGGAGUCCGAAAUGGCACUGUUGGGUCUAUCUACGUUGAUUCUAAACUUGAUAAGUCACAGAACGGCUCCAAGAUAGUCAAGCUCAAUUCCAGCCUACCUGUCUUCAUUGGUUAUGACCCCCGUGACAACAAACGCUACUUUCAUGGUGAACUCAAGGAGGUUCAGAUCUUCAGUGCUGCUGUUGUGCCUGUGGGCUUCAACCCAAUCUCUAGCUAUGGAAUCAUGUAAGCUUAUGCUCCUCUGACAUGGAUUCAUAUACGUAAAUAAAGAGGAGCUGGUUUGUUAUAUUCUAUGAAGUAUGGCGUGUUUCUUAUGAAUUGAAUGUAGAAUAUACAUUUCUCUAGUGUCCAUAGUUCCACAAUCCAACAAAGAUGGAUGGACAGAAUGGCAGCAUUCAACAUGCGUGGCAGUGCUUCGCCAGAAUUCAGCAGCUGACUGUUGUUUCAGGGAAUGGCAUGCUCGUAGCGCUUGCCUGGAAUGGGCACUUGCAGCAGGCAAUGAUGCAACUGCAAUGCCUGGACAACAGUAUUAUCGAUCUAAUCGCUGUAUAGGUACUUUGAGGGGCGUUUUAGACUCCAUAUAGAACAGUUUCAGAAGAUGCAUGUGAGAAAUGUGUAUCUUGGAAUGCCAUCAUCUGACAGAGCGGCAUUUUCAUGGCUAAGGUGGUCUUAAAUUUUAAUUCUUGCAUUUGUUGUUUUAAAACAAAUUUGUGUUAUAUCAUGUCAAUACUGAAUUUAAACCUCUGGUCACUCUUGGGCCUUAUUACCCUUGGAGGGCCUCCGUGCUAACAUUGUAUCGAUAUAAUUUUUCAAGUUUUAUGUACUAAGCAGCUUUAUUUUAUUCUAAAAAUGAAAAAUAAAAUAAAAAACAGAGAAAAAAAACUUUAUCAUCUCUUGCUGGGUUGCUUGUUGUCGUUGUUGAUCUGGAGGAGGUUCUUAUUUUAUAUAGUAGAAUUGAUGUUUUUUUUUUACAAUGUUGGCCAUAUUGAACACAACUACUUAACAGUCCUCUAAAUUUUUAUGGCACAUUUAUAAUAAAUAGUAAUAGUUUAAUUUCUUCUAAUAAUAAAUUUCGAGCCAAAUUAGAAAAUUGUAAUUUUGUUAUUGAUGAUAUUGAAACAAUCAAAAGUAUAUGGUCUACAAUAUCAGAAAGAUCAAAUAUAUUUUGUUAUCUUCAUCUUCAACUAGAUGGUCAUUUACUUAUAAUAGAUAAUAACAAUAAUAUUAUAUGGAAAAAUAAUAUAUUUUGCUCAAAAUGCAUAAUAUUUGCAAUUUUAAAAAUAGAAGAUACUGGACAAUUAAUAGUAACAUUUUAUGAUUUUUUUAAAGAAGAUAAUGUGGAGGAAUAAUAAUCUUAAUUAAAAUAAUGUUUUCAUUAAUUUCUAGGUUAAUUCUUAUUUAUAUUGUAUUUUUAUUUAUUUUUAAUGUAUUUUACAUUAUUAAUAACAAGCAUUUUAUUGCUUUAGAGUCAUCGUUGGUCAUCUCCGAAAGAUUCACUCUUCUUCUUGUGGCUCAAUCCUCUAUGUGCCACUGGUUCCAAGCAGCCACUGCACGACGAAGAAGGGGAUCACACGCGCGAUUGCUCCAAGCACUGUCCAAGGUAGGAGACAAUCACAGCCCCUCCACCCUCUGCCUGUUGAGGCUAAGAGAACAAUCAAGACCGCCAAUCAUAUUGCUAGAUCUACAGCCUUGGAACGAUAUGGUUAUUUAAAAUUCGUAUAAGCUGCUAGAUUAUAUGUACACCUGUGAGAUUAAAAUUUUACGAUGCAAAAGCUUAUUACUUAUCAUUAGCAAGAUCAUCGUCAAGAGCGUCCUGACCGACUUGGACCUCACCACACACCCCGUCUUCUUCCGAAAACGCAUCCAAAUGAACCGUGGCUCCACUCUUUCGCUGCUGGGGCAGGCUCUUGUAGUUGAAGACUUUCUCUAGAACGUCCUUGAGGGUCGAGCAAAGAAUAAGCUCCAUUCCGUCCACCUUGACUCCUUUAGCACCCUGUGGGACGAUGCAUUUCUUGAAACCCAGCUUGGAUGCCUCAAACAGUCGCCUUUCGAGUUGAGCUACCUGCAUGGACGGAACUUCCAGCAUUGAAAAGUGAGAAACCACGUAAGAACUUACAAAGCGCAGCUCUCCCCCGAGUCCUAGCUCACCAACGAAGACUGUGUCCCGAGGAACCGCAAGCAAGACGAAGCUCGUGAGUUGGUAUGCCCAGCUAGUCGAGAGAAAGUACCUGCUGGCAAUAGCGACGGCAACAGCAAUAUCUGUGGCGGGCUCUUCCAAACGAAAGCCUCCAACGACAUUAACAAAAAUAUCCUAGAGCAGUAUUUCAGCAUAAGAACUUUUGCUAUCACAAAGUACAGAACGCACCCGUCUUGCAAGUCUCAAGCGCGCUUGUUUGAGUAAGACCUGGCAUCACAGCGUCAAGCCUCACAAAAGUGGAGAAUAUUUAUGGAGUGACUUACGGCAACAAUCAGAUUGAAUCGAGAUGGAUCCACUCCAGUGAACGUUCUUUUACUUGGCAGUGAAGUGGCAGGAGAGCAUAAGACCUGCAAAACGUGCGUUCAUGCCGGAGAAAACUUUAGCUUUUGAUCGUUGUCAGAUACGCUUCUCGGUUUUAAAGUCAGAUCAUGGCAAGUCAGAGAAACUGUUCUUGGCAGUCCAGCUCACUCGAAACUCGGGAAAUUCCAAAGAAUCUACCACCAGUCUCUCGUUGAACCUGGAAAGCUAGAGCAGCCAGACAACGCUCAGAUUUGGCUAAAAGUAUCAUCAUCCAACGUAAAUCCUAGAAGUCGCUUACCUGGAUUUCAACCAGCAGCGGCCGAGAUCCUUCCAAAGCCACCCCAACGGUGGCUGACGCAUUACUGUCCUCCCCAGUUCUAUCAGAAAGAAACAUCAAACUGGGAUUUCUACCGCUCGUAAACCGCUGUCGACCAUCUCAAACACGCCGACCUGUAAUAAAGAUAAAACAGCCAGAUUCAAUUUAAAAGCAAAUGCUGAAAGACAGUCACCUCUUUCGUAGAAGCGAAGCGAUUUUUUAGCGAUCUUAGAAGCCGUUGAGACAAAAGACGGUCUCCCUAGAGACAAGAAAUAUAUGGCAACCUCAAACGAACAAAGAUAAAAACUCCAAGUGAAGACAAACAUCAACCAUGUGCUCCAAUGUACGUGGCCCCGCUAUUUCUCCAGAUUUCGUUACAUGCCCAAUCUUUAUAUCGCCGAACAUCUAAUGCAAGAAAGAAAGAGAGCUUACCACCAGUGAAGAUAUCGACAACCGUAGAGUAGACGAAUUGAAGUCACAGUUUGCUCCAGGAGUAGGAAAUGUUAUCCCGGAGGGAAGGUUUACAGUCCAAGGAGGAGUUUUCAGGCUCUGAAAGGAAAGAGCUUAGUGAGACCAAAACUUUUACCAUAUGCUUACAUCCAGGUUGAAAACAUGCACAAUGGGAAGACCAUUUUGUCGUCUGUAUAAGAUCAAAUGCUUCGCAAAAAUAUCCAUAUCCUCUAUCCAAUUUUCGCUCUCGACUGGGACAACCUCCUAAAGUGUUUCAUUUUUUGCUGUGAAAAAAACGAGAAUUGACUUACCUCCCACGCCUUCGAGGUCAAGCUAUCUGUCUUGCAGCGGACAAGCCGAUAGUUGUUUCCUAGCGACGCUAGCUUCUUGUCGCCCAAAAAAUUGGUAAGAAUAUACAGGUGCUCUUCAUGGUGUUCCACGAAAUACUGGAUGCCAUCAACUCUAUCUGCAACUUUCCGCAACGUUGUGGCUGAAGUUUUCGGAUCUACCAGAAAAACCAGGCUCGAGCAACACAUUUGUGAAACGCAAUUACCUCAGAGGACGUCUUCGAGUUGACAUUAAUCAAAACGUACUGCCAUUUUUUGGUUCUUGUAACAUCAACAAAGUUCUUUGGAUUGUCGUCGUGAUAAAUUGCAAUGUCAUCAUCUUAGACCGCAAGUUCUGCAACAAAACCCUGUCGAGAUCGAGAAAAAAUGAUUCUAGAAGAAACUUCAAAUAGAAACCUGUGAGGUCGAUGUGCUGCAUCACUACAAGUGUAGUAAAGAUAGUCUCCAGUAUCAGACCACUCCACACUUACUACACCAUCGGUUUUGUGCUCCAGGAGGAGGCUAUCAGUCUCCAAGUCUUUGACAAACAAUGUGAAGAUCUCGUUGCCACCCAAGUCGAUUGUGUACGCUAACAGUUUGUGGUCUCUGGAUAGCUUAAAAACUCCAAGCUGUGCAUGGCCUACACUUGUGUAAUUAGGAAGAAUUCGUGAUCAUCCAUAUACAAGUCUAACUUCGCGCAGUGACUACGUUUGCUUAUUUUGAUUUUCUGUCUCUAGGCAAGCACCUGUUUCUAUAGAAGAUUUAUUUCGCGGUUCGGAUUCCUACAGUGAACAAACAUCAAGUUUUCUCUCCAUGCGUAAUUCUUUUUAUCUUCACUUCAGGACAGCAUCGGAGAAGACAACUUCGCAGUAAAUUUUACGAUCUUCACGUCCAUUUUUCAGCCGCAGACAGCCUGGAGUCCACUUCCUUUACGUAUCUGGCAGUUCUAUAGAGGCGGUUUUUGGAGUCAAUGAGGCCGAGUUAAGGUAAUAAAAGAAAAGAAAAGAAAUUGUUUUCUGAGCAAGGAUGCAUGCCAGCUGGCGAUAUACAUCGAAGAUGAAAGUUUAAUGGAAGCUCUAGUGAACCACGAGGUAAAGCUUCAAUUCUGUUUAAUCAAGACUGGUCGCCAAUUAUGCAGCUGGUUGAGAGGAUGAUCGGAUACUCCCGUUGGAUGUAAGUGCCGCUAUAGAAUGUCAAGCUUUUCUCAAGAAAUACCAGGUGUUUUUUUACAAAGGCACACAUGAGAUAUUUUCUUAAGCGUGUGGUGAUCUUUAUAUUUGGUGAACGACUGCCUACAUGCAUCCGGAAAUGGAUGGACGCUUCUUGUCCGAGUUGAAGCUCUUCCAGUUUGCGCCAGGAUCAUCAGCGAUCCCUUCCAUUGUAUUGAAUUUGACUUAGAAAAGAAACUUCAUAACUUGCAAAGACAGUUCUUGCAUUGCUAUAGAAAAUCUUUCUCGAAAUUGUCUCACAAAAACAAAUUCCACCCGGUGACCAAGCAAGCAAAGUUAGUACCUGUACUCUUCAAUCAAAAACGAUGCUUACCGAACUGGUGCUGGCUUUUGUUCUUAAGCUGCACGAGCUUUUUUCACGAUCAAGUCGCUGCCGCUGGGAAGACUCCUCUUCACUCCACAGCACCUGCUGCGUGUCACCGUCUCGCUCUUGCUACUUCUGCUGCAAUGCUUCAUGAUCCAGGGAUGUGCAAGCACACGGUCCAGCGUUACCCUCUUGCUCAGUUCGACAGCUAACAUCCCCUGGAGGAGAUCCUCCACUUGGUCUGAGCCAAAACCAGUUGGAAAUGCUCCCGCUCUCAAGAAAUCGAUCUCCAUUCUCGACUUGUAACUCCUCAACAGCUCGUAUGCAAUGACUCCCAAACCCCACACAUCAAUGGCUGCCGUGUAGAAGCUCUGUGAUUCUCCCUUGCGACCCUUAGUCGCCAUCACCUCUGGUGCCAUAUACUUCUCUGUGCCACAGUACUUUGACAUCUCCCUGUGCAGGUCUGUGGCUAUCCCGAAGUCUCCAAUCAGAACAUCGUGCACACCAGUGGCAUUGAGCUUGACAAGAAUGUUCUCCGGCUUGAGAUCCCGGUGGAUAAUUCCCCUGGAGUGGAUCUCCUUGAGCGUUUCAGCCAGCUUCUUGAUGGUCUUCAGUGCAUCCUCCUCCCUCAUCGGCCCGCAAUUGAUCAAUCCCUCGCAUAGAUUUGGACCGCACAGCUCCAUGACAAUGGUGCCAUAGCACUUGGCACCAUCUCUCUCCCUGACAAAACCCUUGAAGGAGACGACCCCAGGGCAGGCGUGAAGCUUGGACAUGAGCCGAGCUUCUCUCUCGGCAUCACUCCCCGAUCGAAACAACUUUCCAGCAUAUGUGUUGCGGCCAUUAUGGAUCAUGAAAACUUGCCCUUGCCCUCCACAUCCCAGCUGCUUGCCCCUCAUGUAAAACUUGAGAAGCUCACUACAGUCAUCCUCGCUCAACUCACCAGUGUCACGCGCCAUCGCUCCCAGACCUUCUUGCUGAAUGGAAGACCUAGCUUCUUCAAAACGGGUUUAUAUCGACGGCUGGGAUGAUGUUUGAUGGACGGUGGCGAUUUCAUGGGACAACCUGCCAAGUAGUGACGCUAGUGUCUUCUCGCCCAAAACAUUGGUGGAUCAUCAGCUCUAUCUGUUUGGAAAUAAACCAUCCGGAUGAGGUGGGAGGAUACUACCACUACACCAGCUGCGCUUCACCAUGGAAAAACCUUAGUUACACGAGGCAGUGACAAAAAUUUCUCUAAGUUCUACUAUAAACUAAGUCGUCACAAAACGUUUGGUCUUAUGAGCUCGAUGCUUUCAAAGACGAGUUAUAUGUGCCUGGAUUGCUGUGUUGAAUCAUGUGUUGGAUUAUUAAACUUGUUGCCACAGGCCGUUGGCCUUCCACUUCCCGGGGGUAUAAAACGGUGAGCUCUUCCCUGAUUUUUGCUCUAGUCGCUUCGUUUCCUUUCCUGGUCUCAGAGUGCCGAAUUUUGUGAAUCUCAUUCAUCGCAAUGCAGGUCCUUUCGAUCGAUCAUCCUCAUGAUAGCUACGACGAGAGAACGAAGGAUAGAUCCUCAAAACUUUAUCGUGCUUCGCAGCAAGCGCAUUGAUGUCGAUCAUCACUUCACUCUGCUUCUUGUCGAGAAAAUUUUGUCAAGAAAGCCUUCAGCCUUCCACCUUUGCGGGCUCUUCGUCUCGAGUAGAUCUUUCCCCGGGAUUUGCACGAAAUUUCCUACAUCUUUUCGUCUAAGCCAAAAACUGGAAGAACUCACCAAUGCCCCCAGCACUCUGGCAGCGACGCGAGCUCCUUCUCCAUCCUACUCGCCAUUUCCUGGCGGAUCUGGCGCUGCAGCUCCCUUGUCCCAGCCAUGGUCGAUUGCGCGUGCUGAUUCGUCUGAAUUUCGCAGCCAGUGGCAGGGAUCGUCCCAUGUCACGCCGUGGCGCGUCUUGGGGAACGAUAUCCUCGGCACGGCAGGAUCGAAUUGCUGCAAUGCGCGAUCUGGAAGAGAAGAGAGUGCGCGCGGCAAAACACCAUAAAGCCCUUGCUUGGCAAGCAUAUUCCUGGAACCUUUCAAGCUAGCAAAAUGGCGGGAGGAGGAGCGGGUUGUGGAGAUUAUGGCUUCUCGUGGAAUGUGGCCUAAGGCGCAGUGGCUUUCUUCUUGCCUGCGCGAGCAGAUCGGAGCGUCAUAGUUGCCGGUAGACUUGUGCACCAAGAAAUGCUUUGCGCAGCUCCUCGCUGCCGAUUUCAAUCUCGUCACCGAUGCUGUGCUUCCUCCAGGGGUCCAGGCGAUGCACAAAGUGGAGCUAGCGGGCCCUUUCGUUCUACAAGUAAGUGAAAGUUUUUCUAUAUUUUUUUUUAUCGACGGGAGUAUGGCACACAGUUAGAUGAAACGGUGGACAUUUGCUGCGGCCUCAAGGAUCGCUACCGGGACCAAGACCGAGACCAAGGCCGAGGCCGGGACCGAGUCUGAGUCCGAGUCCGAGUCCGAGUUUGAGAGGGUGAAAGCCCAAAGUGUUCGUCUCCCAGACCCUGGGGGCUUUGGUGAGCUCCAAAAGUAUACUAGGGGGAGGACUCCAGUGGAGCCCAUUUGGCCAGGAAAGGCCAGUUUAGCCCAGGAAGGCUGUGCCCAAGUGUUGGGUGAUGGGAUAUCCAUUGAGAAGUCCAAGACUAGAGUGAAUACAGACUGACAAGUGGGGUAGCUUGGUGAAGUGUUCAAGAGCCGACUCUAGUUCCCCCAGGAGAUCGAAUGGCCGAUGCUCCCAGUCCAAGUGUGGGUGGCACUACCUACUUGGAUACCUAAUGUGGCUCAACGGAACCUCGCUCUAAACCCAUGGCUAGAGCACCUAAAGGCAGAAGGUGGGGAGAGUACCCACGGGGCCUGCAUAAGGCCACAGUGUUCCGAAAUGUUGUCCCGAAGUCCCAGCCUGUGAAAAGGAAGAGGAGCAAUCCUCGAGUGUAGAAACCAGGGAUGCAGUGAUGGGAGGAGGAAGUCCCAGGAGACUAGGGGACUUAGUGGUCGGGCAUGUGGGCCUUGAACAAGUGGCAGUGAUAGCAAACACAGCCAUGGAUAGAAAGGGUCUUGGUGAGGACCGGAAAGGGAUAUUGGGGAAGGCUAUUCCCCAUGCCUACGGGCAUCCUAAGGAUACUAAGGAGUGGAUUUGGGAUAAUCAAUCAUGGAUGGAUGCCCCAGUCCUUGAGAGACAGGACGGUGACGCAACUGGUGUUAGACCACCGGUGUGACCAAGGUAAAGGAGCAUAGCCUUAGCGUAAUGGGCUGAUAUGUCGGUGGUAUCUUGGGGUGUCGAUCUUAGGACUGGACAUGUGGAGCACUUUGACUAAGUGCAAAGGAUGAGUGGCAUAGAUGCCAUUCUCGGGACAAGCAGGUCCUAUGUCCUGAGUUGGACUUAUGAAGGUUGUGAGUGAGACUCCUCAAAGUGGUCAGAGGUGUGGUUAAGUGACUAAAGUAGAAUGGAAAAUUUAGUCACUUACAUACAUCUUUGAAGCGGGCUUGUUGUAAUGGAAAAGCACUUUUGUGUUACUUGUUGUUUAUUUAUGACUUGGGGGACCAAGGCACGUGCAGGGGAGAAGCAGUAGUACAGGAUGUACUUGACGAGUUUUCUGAUGUUUUUCCAUUUGAACUUCUUCAUGGGUUGCCUCCAUUACGAGGUGUGGAGCAUGGGAUUAUAUUGGAGCCGGGGAUGCGGCCAAUUUACCGGCAUCCAUUUUGGUUAAGUUAUGCGGAGGAGCAAGAAGUUCAACAACAAGUCAAGGGUUACUUGAGUUUGGAUUUAUUUAGCCAAGUAAGUCUCCGUUUAGUGCUCCGGCCUUGCUUGUGAAGAAGAAAGACAGUUUAAUGUGGAUGUGUAUUAACUACUGUGCUUUGAACAAGAAGAUAGUGAAGGAUAAGAUGCCAAUGGCACAUGUGGAUGAUAUUUUAGACAAGUUUGGUGAAGCAUGAGUGUUUACCAAGAUUGAUCUAAGGAGUGGAUAUCAUCAGAUUGCAAUGGAUGAUGCAUUUAUCUCCAAGACGGCAUUCAACACAAGCUUUGGACAUUUUGAGUUUACAGUUAUGCCAUUUGGUUUGACGAAUGCACUAGCCACAUUUACUCGGUUGAUGAUGGAGGUAUUUAGGCAUUAUCUUUAUGAGUUUGUGGAGAUUUUCUUGGAUGAGAUUCUUGUUUUUAGCAAGAAUAUGGGGAGCAUAACGUGCAUUUGCGCAAAGUUCUUUUAUUACUUCGAGAUAGCAAACUUUAUGCCAAGAAGAGAAAAUGUGAGUUUGCAAAGUUAGAGGUGGAAUAUUUAGGCCAUAUUGUGAUAUUUAAGGGUGUCAAGACAGAUCCAAGGAAGGUGGCUGUGGUGGAAAACUAGCCUACACCGACUACAGUGGCCGAGUUGUAUAGUUUUCUUGGUAUGGUUAGUUACUACUAAUGUUUCUAGCAUAAGUUUGUAGAGGUGGCUAUGUUUACGAUGCUUUUGACAUGGUUAUUACGCAAGAAUGUGUCAUUCGAAUGGAAGAAGCCACAAGAGAAGAGUUUUGUGGCACUGAAACGAUUGUUGAGCGAAACUCUAGUGCUUCACAUUGUUGAUCUAUCAAAACCUUAUGAGGUGACAUGCGAUGCAAGUGGUUAUGCAUUGGGAGGAGUUCUCAUGCAAGAGGGACAACCUAUUGCAUAUGAGAGUCAAACUUUGAAUUUCAUGGAGCAACGCUAUUCCACAUAUAAGUAAGAGUUACUCUCUAUUGUUCAUGCUUUGCGGACGUGACAGCAUUAUCUUUAUGGUGCAGUGUUUGUGGUGUUGACAGAUUACAAACCACUUGUGUAUCUUUUCACACAGAAGGAGUUGAACACUAAGCAAGCUCGUUGGAUGGUCAAACUCAUGGAGUUUAAGGAGUUUCCUAUUGAGUAUCGUCCAGGAAAAUCAAAUGUGACGGCAGAUGCUUUAUCUCGUGUUCGUCAUGUGACAAUGUUACAAACACAAUUUUAUCAUCAUUUGAGUAAGGUGGUCAGCGAGUUUGGGUAGUUUGUUGAGCAUGCUUAAGCUCAAGAUGUUAAGGUGGCCUCUUUGCAAGACCAGAUGGAAGCCCCUUUCUCAUUGGUGGAUAGGAUUCUCUACUACAAUGACUAUGUAUAUUUGUCACAGGUGGAUGUGUUAAUUACUCAAGUUUUAUCCCACUAUUAUAAUCAUCUAGAAGCCAGUCAUUUUAGGGGGAAAAAGACGUAUGAGUUGAUUAAGCACAAUUUUUAUUGGAGGAAUAUAAAAGCUAAUAUCCUCAAGUAUUGUAAAUCAUGCGAGCUCUGUUAGCAGGUUAAGGUGCCACAGGAAAAGCUAAGGGGACUUUUGCAACCUUUACCUAUUCCUAAGAGCUGUUGGUGUAGUAUUUCUAUGGACUUCAUUACUUGUUUACCACGAACAUUGAGGCAAAAGGAGCAAGUAUGGGUUAUAGUGGAUUGGUUGACGAAGUAUGUGCGGUUGUUGGCUCUUCAGAAGAUUGUCAUUGCCUCAGACUUGGCUGUGGUUUACUUGGAGAAGGUUUUUCCUGAUUUUGGUUUGCCGGAGAAUAUCAUUAAUGAUCAAGAUUCAAAGUUCACUAGUGGAUUUUGGAAGAGCUUUGCAAAGGCUAUGCAAGUGACUUUGAAACUCUCGAGUAGAGAUCAUUCUCAGACGGAUGGGCAAACCAAGCGUGUGAAUCAGGUGGUGAAGGAUAUGCUACGUUGUAGUAUUGGUCAAAGGCAAGGAUAGUGGGAUCUAUAUCUUCCAUUAGUGCAAUUUGCUUACAACAAUAGCCAAUACAGUGGAACCAAGCUAAAUCCUUACUUUGCCAUGUUUGAAAGGCAUCCUUGAAUAGCGGUGGAGUUGAGAUUGCAUUUAAGUAAGGACGUUCAAGAUAAGCUUGAUUCUGAGGCGACUAAUCUGGCUACAGAACUUGAUGAGAUUCUAGUGGUGUGCAAAUAGAAUUUGCAGGCAACUCAGGAUAGAGCAGAGAAGUUUGCUAAUGAGUAUCGCCAAUUCUGGGAAUAUAAGGUGGGGGAUCUCGUCUUCGUGCAAGUGAUCUUUCCGUCAAGUGAGCGGCAAAACACCUUGGUGCCUUUACAGACAAGGAAGAGUGAUAAACUUUCCCAUCAAUAUGCUGGUCUAUAUAAAGUGCUGGAGCGUAUUGGUAAAGCGGCUUAUCAGGUGUGGCUACUAGUUGGGGUGAAAAUUCAUCUGGAAUUUUAUGUCAGCCAAUUGAAAGGUGUACUAUCUCAGAGUGACGGCCUAAUGCCUCCUUGAUGUAUAUGACUGUGGAAGAUAGACCUGAGCAGGUUCCUUAGAAAGGGUGAUCACUGGUAUAACUUGUCCUUGGAACAAGGACUUUGUUAGGGGGAAGAAUUGUUAGGUGCUAGCUUUGACCACAUGGUCAAUGUUUGUCAAAAGGACACUCAAGGGUAUAUUAAGGCAUGUUAGGGUAAGGGACUUAACCUACUUUGUGGAGCAGCAAUGCGGUUGGGUAGUGAGGGACUUCAAGAGGUGGUGAAGAGGUGAGAAAACCCCUCUUCGCUGGAAAUCUAUUGUUAGUAAGAAAACAAAAGAGACAAUGGCCCGAUCUCCAAGGGCAGAGAAGAAGCACGAGUAAAAGAAUGCUGUGUAUUGAUAAGACAAACGAUGGAAUGGAGAUAGGGAUCCACAAUUUGGAUUCCCCCUUUUGAAAUGUUAGCGGUUCUAACUGCUAGCAUAUACCAUAUGCUGUGCAUGAUUUAAUCUAUGGCUCCGAUGCAGCCUUGGGUUCAAAGUCAGAGUCCCCUGAACCUUGUUUUUGGUUGAGACACUCUGCUCCCCUGACAGAACUAGACACCGUCCUCGGUGCGAACAUAGUCAGUUUCCAUCGCUUGUUGCUGCUGCUGCUCCAGUCGAUAGAGGCGACGUUUUUGCUGUGGGAGUGUAAGCUCGUGGUUAGGGACGCUGUCUGGUGGAUCUGUCCCAUCUUCCUGGAGGUCGGCUACCUCAGCCAGCAGGGUGGUAUGAUCAUCCUCGAGUUUUCGGUAGCGGGUGUUGAGCUCUUCGUAUUUGAAUUUGUAGGUGAAUUCGUGAGCUGCUGAUGGGGUUGAUGGCUGCUUGGAGACGAUCUUCCUGAUGUCCCGGAGGUCAGUGCGGAUCUGCUUCAUCUCUUCAAUCUGAGUAUCCAGCCGGUGGUUUAAAGGCUCAUAAAAUUCCUUCUUGAUCGCUCCCCGGGUGUAUAUGAAGGAGUCUUGCUUGAGAAGAUGCUGUGCAAUGUCUGCUGGUGUUGGGAAGUAGUUUGCUUGCUCGCAGUACAUGCGUUGAUCCAGGGCUUCAAACAACUUGCGGGUGCAGUAGCUUGGGUCGCGAAGUUUAUCUUCGUACUCCUUCCUGAUCUCAUCAUAAUCACGGCGUACCUGACUCUGUGGCUGAGGCAUGGUUGCUGCUCCUGCUCCUGCUCGGUGAUCCUGGUGUUUCUCGCUAGGGUUCGCUCUGUUCUUGGUCCCGGGAGUUGAAGUUACUGGAGGCUGAAUCUGCUUCAUUGGAUGUGGGUGACGUGGUUGGGCCAGAUUCUGUGAGGUGGUUGGAGAUGAGCUUUUCAGUUUGAUGGUGGAUGAACGGCCCAGAUGUGGCGUUGAAAUUAAUUUAUCCGUUGAGAAAUUUUUCGCUUGGAAUUUUGUUGAAGGGGCGGAAUUUUUGUGAAUGCUGGUCGUGGUAUUUGCUGGAGGAGACAUGGUUGUGUGUUCUUCAAGUGAUUGGCGAAGGUAGUCAAUGUUUUCUUUUGUAGAACGUGUCAAGGAGGUCGGGGCGUUGAGAAUGUUGUUCUCAGCUGGUGUAGAAAUUGAGUUCUGGGCGAUCAACUGACGUUUUUCUUUGGCGAUGUUGAUGUGUUUGUGAGAAGUUGUCAGUUUUGGGGCUGAUUCGAGUGGAUGCGGGCUCUGGGGUGAUUGUUGAUGGUGGUGUGAGUUGUGUUCCUUGUCGCUGAUGAUGAGGUGCUCUCGGAUCAGCGGUUUGGGAGCUGGAUUCGCUGGUGUUUUGCGUGUGAAGCAGCGGCGAAGUGGAGUUGAAUUGUUGGAGUGUUUGUUGCUGGAGCUGGUGUUGUUGGAGUGAGUUGAGCCUGAUUGUUGAGAUGCUGGCUUCGGUUUCUUGCUGGGAGUUGCUCCUUCUGAUUCUGAGUGUUCUUCGGAGCUGUCGCUUUGUUCUGUGGAGUUCGUUUGGGUUGUCCAUGGUUGCUUGUUGGGAAGAGCUUGGUGUAGAGCGAUCAGCAGUGGGAAGAUUACUGUGCGCAUGGUCCUCUUGUUGAGUGUGGCGAGGAUGGUGCGGUCGAGAAGCUUGAGAAGGAGCUCGUGGAGAUGAUGAGCCACGUUCACACGUUUGCCGUCGAGUAGAGCUCCGUAGACUUCUGCUGUGCGCUUGCCGAUGGUGCGAUCUGUUGGGCGAAGUUCGUAGUAGAGGAGGAGGGCUUUGAGUCGAUCCAUAUGCUGCUCCUCGAUGUCCUCCCAUGUGAGCUCACCGGUAAUUUCUCGAUUGGCCUUGAUGAUUUGCUGUGGAACUUCUCCUGAAAAUUUGAGCAGUCCCUUGUUGGAGAUUUUGAAAACAGAGGUGAUUCUUGCUGGGCUGAGGGUGAUCUCGUUGGUGCCGUCGGUUAUGGUGCUGUUCUUGGGGUUGAAGGAGGCGGCCAGUUUCCUUGCUAGUUUCUGAUCAGGGUGUGUUGAAAAGGCCUUGUGGAGGAGCUCGAAUCCGUGGUCCUUGAGCCAGGUGGUUGUGUCGUUGCUGGGAAGCCUAGGAAUAUGGUGUAUGACGUAUCUGAGGCGUCGGGGUGGAUGAGCUGGCAUCUUUCUCUUCAUUUUCUGCGAUCGAAGUGCUCGCCCCGUUAGGGUUCUUGAAACCUGUAACUGUUGGUUGGCUGAUCGUGCGGCGCUCGAUUGCUGGUGAUGAACGGUCAAGAUUUGUUGACGGAAUUGAUGUGGUUUGAUUUGGCUUGAUUGCAAAUCAAUGGUGGAUAUUGGUGAUGAAGUUAACUCAAGUUCAACUGUUGAUAUUUGCUCAGGUGGCGUUGAUCCAAUGGUAGCUUGGGACUUACAGAUUUUUGCUGCUGUUUGUUGCUGAAGUUGGUGGAUGAGUUCGUGUUGAGUUGAGUUGAGUUGUAUUGAACUGAUUUGAGUUAAAGUUUGUCUAUUGGGGUGAGUGUUGAUUGUUGGUUUUGGGGUGUUUGUCGGUUUGGGUCUGAAAUUUGUUGAGGUGCUGAUGUUGAAUAUGUUGACGUGAUAUGGUCGAAGCUUGUUGAGGUUGACGAUCUCAGUGAAGUCUUCGGCGAGUGUGCUGACUUUGGCGGUGCCGUUGGGGUAUAGUUCAAUGAUUUUGAAAGGUCCUUGCCAGUUGGUGUGGAGUUUUCGGCCAAGUUUGCCGAUGGGUCCUCGGUACCAGAGAACAUGGUCGUCGACGCUGUAUUUGGGAAUCUUAUGCCGGGAUGCUUGUCGGUCAUGUCGAGCUUUUCUCUGUUUUUGGAUGGCAUGAAGUGUCCAGAGGGCGUUGAGUCGGAGUUCGUCGAGAUGUUCGAGUUGCUGAAGCCUUUCUCGAACUGCAUGUCGGGUGUCGAGAUUAUACUUGACGGUGACUCGCAUGCUUGGGACGAUGAAUUCAAUUGGUGUGAUGGCUUCUGUUCCAAAGGCGAGUUUGAAUGGCGUCAUGUCAGUGGUGACUUUAUACGCAGUGCGAUAGGCCCAAAGUACGUCGAGAAGUUUGUCGUCCCAGUCUUUGCCGGAAUCGUUGAUGACUUUUUUGAGGAUGGUCUUCAGUGUUUUGUUCGUUGCUUCUGCUUGACCGUUGCCUUGAGGAUAGUAUGGUGUCGACGUUUUAUGUCGGAGUUUGAACUCGGUGGCGAGAUGUUCGAUGGUUAGGUUGAUGAAGUGGGUGCCUCUAUCGGUGACAAGUUCAAGUGGUGUGCCGAAACGAGUGAUGAUAUUUUCGUAGAUGAAGGUUGCUGUUGCUUUUGCUGUGGCAUGUUGGAGAGGUAUUGCUUCGGCCCACUUGGUAGUGUAAUCGGUGGCGACGAUGAUGUACUGAUUUCGUCGACGGGUGCUGACUUGGGGUCCGACGAAGUCGAGUCCCCAUUUCUGAAAUGGUGCCAUUGGGAAUGUUGGGUUGAGUUGUUGAGUCUGAGUUUUUGGUGGUAAUCGAUGUCUUUGACAUGUGUCGCGGCGUUUGCAGAAUUCUUCAGUGUCGUGCCAAAGUGUCGGCCACCAGAGGCCGGCUUGAAGAAUCUUCCGAGUGGUUGUGUCAGCAGCGAAGUGUCCGCCGGAAGGUCCAUCAUGAGCUUCCUUGAUGAUUUGAGUUGUGUGUGGCUGCUUGAUGCAUCGGCGAAGAAUGUUGUCAAUUCCGAGUUUGUAGAGAGUGCCUCCAAUGAUUGAGUAUUGUCGGGUUUUAGCAACAAAAGUCUUCUUUUGGUCGGACGUAGUGUACUGAUCUGGAACUUUUGCUGAGUUGAGGUAACUGAAGACGUCAUCGAGCCAGGUUGCUGGUAUUGAAACUCGGAAUAGGUUUGAGUCAGGUAAGUCAUCGGUAAGUACUUCGGGUUUGUCACCGGUGGUGAUCCGGCUGAGAUAAUCUGCUUGUUCAUGAUUUUUGCCGGGUUUGUGGACGAUCUCGAAGUUGUAUUCUUGUAGUAAAAGGAACCAUCUUGAUAUUCGACCAGAUAGUAUUGGCUUGUUGAUGAGGUAAAGGAGUGCCUUGUGGUCGACGAAAAUUACGACUUUAGUUGACAGUAUAUAGUGUCGAAACUUCUGAAGUGAGUAGAUCAUGCCGAGAGCUUCUUUCUCGGUGGUGGUGUAAUUUCGUUCAGCUGGGUUGAGUAGUCGGCUGGCGUAGUAGAUCGGUUGAUCGCGGUUGUCGUGUUGAGUUUGGCUCAGAAUUGCACCAGUGGCAACGUCGGAAGUGUCGACAUGAAUGUGGAACUCUUGUGUCCAGUCGGGCUUGGCAAGGAUCGGUGCUGUUGUUAGUUUGAGUCGGAGAUUAUCAAAUGCUUGUUGCUGUUCGGACGUCCACGUCCAUUGGGCAUCUUGUUUUAGUUCAUCGGUGAGUGGUUUGGCAAUGUGAGCGUACCUGUGGAUGAAUCGUCGGUGAUAUCCGACUUUGCCGAGGAAGCGCCGAAGUUCUUUCUGGUUCUUCGGCGGUUCAAGUUUGGAGAUGACGUCAACUUUGUCCUUGUCGAUGAGAAUGCCAUCUUUGCAGACAACGUGGCCGAGGAGUACUCCAGAUUUGACGAAGAAAGCGCAUUUGUCGGGGUUGAGUGCUAUGUUGUUCUCCUCACAUUUGUUGAGGCAUUUCUCCAGGCAUUCAAGAUGUUGAUCUUCCGAGCUGAAAACGCUGAAGUCGUCCAUGAAGACUCUCAUGAAGUCAGUGAGGUAGUCUCGGAAAGUGUUGGUAACAAGCCUUUGGAAGGUGAAUGGGGCGUUGCAGAGUCCAAAAGGCAUUCGUCGAUAAGCAUAGGCUCCCCAUGGACUGAUGAAUGCUGUCUUGUGCUGAUCUUCUUCGGCGAUGUGAAUUUGGUUGUAGCCGGAGAAACCAUCGAGGAAGGAAUACAUCUCGUGUCCAGCGACUGCGUCAAGAACUUCGUCGGUAAAUGGUAUCGGGAAGACAUCUUUUUCAGUGGCGUCGUUGAGCUGUUUAUAGUUGAUGCAGAUUCGAAGUUUGCCGUUUUUCUUUGGCACAACCACCAGUGGUGAAAGCCAUAUCGGAUUCUGAAUCGGGUAGAUGUACUCAACUUGGAGAAGCUUGUCAAGUUCUUUCUUUACUUGUUCCAUCAGAUUCGGGUUCAUCCGGUAGGCUGCUUGUCUUCUUGGUUUUGAGUCAGGAAGAAGGGUGAUGGUGUGAAGGCUGAGUUUUGGCGAAACUCCCUUAAGGUCUCGAUAACUCCAAGCGAACAAGUGUUUCUUCUUUCGGAGAAGAUUGAUGCCUUUGUCUCGAAAACUUGCCGAGAUGUCAGUGGCGAGUACAAUGUAGUGUUCGUUGCCGUCGUCGGCAAGGCUGACUUUUUCGAGUUUUUGGUCUGCUGGAAUUGACGGAAUGUAGGCAACUUUGUUGUGGUUAUCGACUGUGAAUGCCGGUGGCGCUUCGAGUUUUGUAUCUCGAGUGACUGGAUUGUUCAGUGCUGAUGUAAUCGGGGGUCGUUCUCGUUGGAAGUCGGCGACAAUUCGGAAGAGGUCGAUUUCGGCCAAAGGUUCGAGAUCGGGGUAGGCUGUGAGAAUUUGUUGUUCUUGAUAGUCGUCGAGGCCAUCUUCGAGAUUAUAUUCUUCCAAGUCAAUAGGUCGGUUGUGGCUGGACAGCAAUUUAGUCGUUUUUGUCGACACAGUUGUUGGUCCGUCUGGUCCGUGAAGGAUAAGAUUGUCAUUGGGCCAAUCUUGAUAGACUUGGGCAGUUCGGAGCCAAGGUCGACCGAGGAGAAUUGAGUAUCCGUCGGUCUGCUCCGGUAGUUUGAGGACGACAUAGUUGACUGGUAUUUCGACGCCUUGAAUGGUGGUGUUGACUUUUCGGAUGAUGCCUCUGGGUUGAACAGAUCGGUGGUCGGCCAUUCGGACAUUGAAAGGUGCUGGGUGAACUGGGCCAAUGUUGAGUUGUUGAACAAGACUUUCUUCAAUAAUAUUAACGCUGGAGCCGCCGUCAAUUAUGGCUCCUCGAACAAGAUGUUUGUCGAGUCGUAGGUCGAUUGUCGGAACAUCAUUGUCACAAUCGCCUGGUUGAAUCUCGGUUCGAAAUGUGUCAACAGCUGUCUGUGUCGAGUUGAGUGUGGGCGAGUCUAUCAAAGUGUUGGUCGGUGCAGAUGUCAGAUCGGUGAGCUGUUUGGUGAGGUAGGGUGCAAUCUUCAGCAGUUGGCCGAUGGUGAUCUGAAUAUUUUGGUUGAGGAUAGUCUCUGUGACUGCUUGGAUUUUGUCGAAGUUUGCCGAAUUGUGUUCUGGUGUCGGUGUCGAUGUUGAACGAUUUGUCUGUCCGUUUUCUGGUAUUGAGUCUUGGCAUUGUUGUCGAGCUGGUGAUGGUUGAGCUUCAUUGUCGGAGUCUAAAAUCACUAAUUCGGGUGGUUGUAGAGCGAGUUGCUGCUGUAUCUUGGCAGCUAACUUCUGCUUCUUUUUCCAUUCCCGGAGUUUUGUCAGGCUCUCAGGGUCUUUCUCUUCACUAUCUCCGGAAUCUCUGUCCUGUUGUUGUUGUUUUUCUGCUCGAAUUUGUGCUCAGGUUUGUACUGCCAUGACUUGAGGAUCUGAGUCGUCAUUGUCGGCAUAAGGUAGUUCGUCGGUCUCGACCAUCCUUGUUGUUGGUGGUUGCUGCUGGUUCUGAUCUUGUUGUCGAGGAGGCGGUGGACCAAGUCUCGGCGGACCGCCUUGGUUUUGAAGUCGAGGUUGCCAUGGUCGGUUGUUGUAGUUGCCUUGGUAGGCCUGGUCUUGAUAACCUUGGCCUUGGUAUCUUGGGUAUUGUUGGUAUCCUUGGUUGUAGUUGUCUCGAUUUGCCGGGUAGUUCCGGUUCGGCAGGUAUUGUCGAUCGUUGUAGUUGUUGUUGUAGUCGUUGUUGUAAUUGUUGUAGUUGUUGUAGCGAGGUUGAUCAUUCCAUUGUCGAGUCUGGUGUUGGAAGUUGUUUCUGAGCGGUCUCCAGUUUGUUGGAGGUGGUGCUUGGUGAUUGUCGAAGUAUUGAUUUGGAUAUGCUUGUCGAAACUGCUGUCGGGGAGAGUUCGAGACUUGUCGAACUUCUGGAGAAUUUCGAAAUCUGCAAGUCUUGGCGUCAUGACCUUCUUUGGCACAGAUUUGGCAUUUGGAGAUUUGGAGCUUGCAGUCACUUGCCGGAUGUCCUUCGUUCUUGCACUUAGUACACCAAAUUCCAGAUCGAAAUUCUUUGAUAUCGGUCUUGGCUUUUCCCUUGAGCUUGUCGAUUGUUUUCCUGAGUUUCCGAAGUUUUGACUUGGUGCUCUCUCCGAGUUCAUCGUCAGAGUCGUUAUUGGAACUGCUAUCAGAAUCUGAGUUAUCUGUGUCAUCUACUUGUGCUGUCAUUCGUCGAGCUUGAACAUCUUGAAGGGCUCUUGCGAGUUCGAGGUAAGUGGCAACGUUGAUGUGUGUUGCUGCUUCUCGGAGGGAUCGUCGGAGUCCUUGCAUGUACCAUUGGUAAAGUAAUGUUUCGGUGGCACUGUUGCUGCAUUUGCUAGCAUGUCGAGUGAAGGUUUGAGUGUAGUCGUCGAUAGAUUGACCGGACUUCUGCUUGAGUUUUUGGAUCUUGUGAAGUCGUUGGCUUUGAGUGAGGGAAGACUUGAAUCGGUCUACGAGUUUGAGUGUGAGGUCGUCGAAACUUGUAUUUUGAGGAAGCGUUUGAGCCCAUUCGUUGGCUCUCUUUCGAAGGGUACAUCGGAAAUAGUAUGGAAGUUCGGUCGUCUGGUUGUUGAUUCGGAUGGCUUCUCGGAACUGUUCAACAUGUUUCUCGGCAUCUUCUGACUUCAGACCAUGAAAUAGUGGAUAGGAGACAUGUCUUCCGACUGGUAUGUUGGCGACAGCAGUAGUGACUGCCAUUUGCUGUUGGUAAUAAUGUCGGUAUUGUCGAGGUUGUUUUGUCAGGUUGUUACUGUGGAGUCCUAAGGUGAUUUGGAGCAAGGGGUUGUCAGGGUCGACGGCAAAGUUGGUGUAAGAGGAAGGUGGUGAAUUGUUGUUGUUGUUUAGUGGACUCUUCUUUGUUGUUCCUUCUGUGUUGGGACUGUUGUCGGGUGUGUCUUCGACGUCGUCGUAGUCGUCGGUGUCGGGUUGCUUGCCGGUGUUGAUUUUCAGAAGAUGGUGUUCGAACUUGUUGUCGACGUACUUGUCGGAGUUAUGUUGUGUUGGUUGUGGUUGUUCUUCUAAAUUGUCAAAGAGUUCUUCGAUCGUAUAGUUGUGUGGUGAUUGUGGUUGCUGAGGAAGAUUGUUGUCGUCGACAAUUGGUUCGUCGAUCUCGUUGUUGUUGGAUGAUUGUAGCUGUUCGGCAGGUCGUUGUGAGUUGUUGAUGUGGAGUGCUUGACUAUUGGACGAUUCGGGUUGUUAGUCUUUACUGCUGCUGACUGGGUAUAUUGGAGUGCGACUGUAAUUGGUGAAGUCGAGUUGUUGUCUAGUCGGCGCGUUGAAGUCGAAAGCGUGUUCGAAAGGUCUUGCUGAUAGCGGGCUUCGGUAGAUGUUGGAAGCAAAUGUAGGAUAUAUUGGUGUUGUGAAGAUCGGUCGGUAUGGCGAAAAUGGUGCUGGUCUGGUGAAGUCUGUGAAGCUGGGCUGGAAACUUGGUCGUUCGUCGUCACUGUAGAUCGGGUUAGUGAAUGUACCUUUGAAGUGGUUGUAUGCUGCUUGAAAAAUGUUUUGUUGCUCGGGCGUAGUCUGUGUCGACUGCUCGAAUGUUCGGUUGGGCUCGGGCACUUUGGUGGGUGCCGUCGAGGGUGCUGAUUCAGGCUCGGGCACUUCGGUGGGUGCUGUCGAGGGUGCUGCCGGUGGUGUGUCCGGUGGUGUUGUGUAGUUGUUGUAUUCUUCGCGGAUGUCCGAUACUGAUUCGUCGGAGUUAGCUCGCGGUAAUAAUUCGUGUCGGAUGUAAUUCUCUCUCUUGGAGGGUCUAAGAAUUUGAUUCAACUUCUCUUGGUCUUUCUUUCUCUUUGUUUCUAAAUUCUUCAAAUCUCUAUCUAAAUGUCGGAUAAGCCAUUGUCGGUCUUCUUCCGACUUGCUGGAUGUUCUUCAUGGUUUUGGAUACAUGCAUUCUUCUACUGGUUGUCGGUGUCAGAUUUGUGUCUGCAGUCAAUCAUGCAGUUCGGGCAGAACUUGGGGAAGACUGUCGAUGGGCCAAUUGUUGAUAAAGUCGUUGUGAGCUUGUUCUUUCUUUUCAGUGCAAAUAUCGACGGUGGUGUGUGUUGGGUUGGGUUGUGUUCAGCCGAGUUGUGUUGAGUCGAGUGUGCUGGUGCAGUAUGCAAACUGGUCUUCCACGUGCUGGUGCCGAGAUGGAGUUCAAUGAAGAGUUUCGGAUAUUCGGGUUUGUCUGGAAUGAUUUCUUCGAUAAUGUCGUCGAGUUGUUCGAGUCCGGAUUGGGUGAUGGCGUGAUUGGCGAGAGUUGUUGCAGCGAACGUGUUGAUUUCGAACCGAGUUCGGACUGUUGUUUCAGUGCUGAGCUGCUGACUUUGUCGGAGGGGUUGUCGAAAAAUCGGUGGUGCGUUCUGAAGUUGUCCCUCGACAAGUUGUCCGAUACCGGGUAACAGAGUGAUGGGUUCGUCGUUGGUGUAGGUUUUGAGGAUGUGCUUCGGUAUUUGGAGUGGGCGCAGGAAUUGGACUUGUGUCGGAACGCUAGGAUUGCUGGGUCGACGACUGCACAGAAGAUGGGCUCGUUUCGGUAGUGGUGUCGGUUUGUGUCGAGGGCGCUGGUUGAUGUCUCGAACUUGGAGUGGGUGGUCUUGUGCUCGGAGAUGGAGUUUGCCAAUGAAGCUGCUGAGGGCGUUUGCUGAUGAAGGUGCUGGUAGAUUGGAGUUUCUUGUCAAAGAGAGUCGUUGGUGUUCUUCAUCGGUGAUUGGACUUGGAGAUCUCGAGAGAGAGCUUGCAGAUUCUUCAAAGAUCUCCUCUGGAAAGUUUCUGUCUUUACUGCGUUGGGCAGCAACCGCUUGGACGCCGUUGAUCCAUGGUGGCAGUGGCAUUUGCGUGUUGAAUUUGGGCAAAUGUACAAAUUAGGGCGUAAUUUGGGUGAAUUUGGGCGAGAUGGGUAGAUUUCUGGAUCGUUCUUGCUAUCUGCGCACAGAGAAUGGAGAAAAAAUGGAAGAAUUUGUGAACCUGAAGGGGAAUUCAGAAGCCGUGGUCGCCAAAUGAAGAGGUGAGAAAACCCCUCUUCGCUGGAAAUCUAUUGUUAGUAAGAAAACAAAAGAGACAAUGGCCCGAUCUCCAAGGGCAGAGAAGAAGCACGAGUAAAAGAAUGCUGUGUAUUGAUAAGACAAACGAUGGAAUGGAGAUAGGGAUCCACAAUUUGGAUUCCCCCUUUUGAAAUGUUAGCGGUUCUAACUGCUAGCAUAUACCAUAUGCUGUGCAUGAUUUAAUCUAUGGCUCCGAUGUAGCCCUGGGUUCAAAGUCGGAGUCCCCUGAACCUUGUUUUUGGUUGAAACAGGUGGCAUAGCAUAAUCUAGGGCAGUUAGAUCUUUGUCUUUUUGUGCCGGAUUAUAACAAGAGAAUGGGGCUGUUAGAAGAGUUAUGACUUUCAGCUUCUGUUGACGAGGGUGUGAACUUAUAAGAAAAACAUGAUAAAUUAUAAGCAACCAAAGGGAACAAUUCGAGAGACAAUCCGUAAUAGUUUAAAUAUAGAACGAAAUGGCUUAGGAAUAAAAAUGUACCCUUUUUUUUAAUUGAUUAAGGGUCUUGGGAUAUUUAGGGUUAAACAUCUUUCGAUUUGAAUAAUACUAAGCUUUGGUGACUUCCCGGGAAAUCCAAAUUUAGGAGUUUACACUUAUAUGGAAAAAUAAUAAUGUAUUUUUCUCAAACUAUAUAGUAUUUACAAUUUUAAAAAUAAAAGAUACCAGACAAUUAAUAGUAACAUUUUAUGAAAAUGGUUUUAAGAAAAUAUUUUGGAGGAAUAAUUUUAACUAUAAUCUUAAUUAAAAUAAUGCUAUUUUAAUUUCUUAUUUUUAUAUAAAAACAAUAAAAGCCAAUGUAUUUUACAUUAUUAAUAACAAGCAUAUUCAUUGAAAGUCGAUUGUCCUCACCUGCCUCUCCUUGGAUCAAACUCCAUUUUCAAUGACAGUUAGUCAUUUUAUAAAGAUUCACUCUUCUUCUUGUGGCCCAAUCCUCUACGUGCCACUGGUUCCAAGCAGCCACUCCAGGUUGCAAUGUUCUAGCUCUGCACGACGAGGAAGGGGAUCACACGAGCACUGUCCAAGGUAGGCAACAAUCACAGCCCCUCCACCCUCUUCUGGGUGAUGCCUGUUGAGGCUAAGAGAACAAUCAAGACCGCCAAUCGUAUUGCUAGAUCUAUAUCCUUGGAGCGAUAUGGUUAUUUACAAUUCGUAUAAGCUCCUAGAUUAUAUGUACACCUGUGACAUUAAAAUUUUACGAUGCAAAAGCUUAUUACUUAUCAUUAGCAAGAUCAUCAUCAAGAGCGUCCUGACCAACUUGGACCUCACCACACACCCCGUCUUCUUCCGGAAACGCAUCCAAAUGAACCGUGGCUCCACUCUUUCGCUGCUGGGGCAGGCUCUUGUAGUUGAAGACUUUCUCUAGAACGUCCUUGAGGCUCGAGCAAAGAAUAAGCUCCAUUCCGUCCACCUUGACUCCUUUAGCACCCUGUGGGACGAUGCAUUUCUUGAAACCCAGCUUGGAUGCCUCAAACAGUCGCCUUUCGAGUUGAGCUACCUGCAUGGACGGAACUUCCAGCAUUGAAAAGUGAGAAACCACGUAAGAACUUACAAAGCGCAGCUCUCCCCCGAGUCCUAGCUCACCAACGAAGACUGUGUCCCGAGGAACCGGCCUUUCUAUAUAGCUGCAAGCAAGACGAAGCUCGUGAGUUGGUAUGCCCAGCUAGUCGAGAGAAAGUACCUGCUGGCAAUAGCGACGGCAACAGCAAUAUCUGUGGCGGGCUCUUCCAAACGAAAGCCUCCAACGACAUUAACAAAAAUAUCCUAGAGCAGUAUUUCAGCAUAAGAACUUUUGCUAUCACAAAGUAUAGAACGCACCUGUCUUGCAAGUCUCAAGCGUGCUUGUUUGAGUAAGACCUGGCAUCACAGCGUCAAGCCUCACAAAAGUGGAGAAUAUUUAUGGAGUGACUUACGGCAACAAUCAGAUUGAAUCGAGAUGGAUCCACUCCAGUGAACGUUCUUUUACUUGGCAGUGAAGUGGCAGGAGAGCAUAAGACCUGCAAAACGCGCGUUCAUGCCGGAGAAAACUUUAGCUUUUGAUCGUUGUCAGAUACGCUUCUCGGUUUUAAAGUCAGAUCAUGGCAAGUCAGAGGUUCUUGGCAGUCCAGCUCACUCGAAACUCGGGAAAUUCCAAAGAAUCUACCACCGGUCUCUCGUUGAACCUGGAAAGCUAGAGCAGCCAGACAACGCUCAGAUUUGGCUAAAAGUAUCAUCAUCCAACGUAAAUCCUAGAAGUCGCUUACCUGGAUUUCAACCAGCAGCGGCCGAGAUCCUUCCAAAGCCACCCCAACGGUGGCUGAUGCAUUAGUGUCCUCCCCAGUUCUAUCAGAAAGAAACUUCAAACUGGGAUUUUCUACCGCUCGUAAACCGUUGUCGACCAUCUCAAACACGCCGACCUGUACUAAAGAUAAAACAGCGAGAUUCAAUUUAAAAGCAAAUGCUGGAAGACAGUCACCUCUUUCGUAGAAGCGAAGCGAUUUUUUAGUGAUCUUAGAAGCCGUUGAGACAAAAGACGGUCUCCCUAGAGACAAGAAAUAUAAACGAACAAAGAUAAAAACCUCUUACCUCCAAGUGAAGAUAAACAUCAACCAUGUGCUCCAAUGUACGUGGCCCCGCUAUUUCUCCAGAUUUCGUUACAUGCCCAAUCUUUAUAUUGCCGAACAUCUAAUGCAAGAAAGAAAGAGAGCUUACCACCAGUGAAGAUAUCGACACCGUAGAGUAGACGAAUUGAAGUCACAGUUUGCUCCAGGAGUAAGAACUGUUAUCCCAGAGGGAAGGUUUACAGUCCAAGGAGGAGUUUUCAGGCUCUGAAAGGAAAGAGAUUAGUGAGACCAAAACUUUUACCAUAUGCUUACAUCCAGGUUGAAAUCAUGCACAAUGGGAAGACCAUUUUGUCGUCUGUAUAAGAUCAAAUGCUUCGCAAAAAUAUCCAUAUCCUCUAUCCAAUUUUCGCUCUCGACUGGGACAACCUCCUAAAGUGUUUCAGUAUUUGCUGUGAAAAAAACGAGAAUUGACUUACCUCCCACGCCUUCGAGGUCAAGCUAUCUGUCUUGCAGCGGACAAGCCGAUAGUUGUUUCCUAGCGACGCUAGCUUCUUGUCGCCCAAAAAAUUGGUAAGAAUAUACAGGUGCUCUUCAUGGUGUUCCACGAAAUACUGGAUGCCAUCAACUCUAUCUGCAACUUUCCGCAAUGUUGUGGCUGAAGUUUUCGGAUAUACCAGAAAAACCUGUCCUGUAGAGGCUCGAGCAACACAUUUGUGAAACCCAAUUACCUCAGAGGACGUCUUCGAGUUGACAUUAAUCAAAACGUACUGCCAGUUUUUGGUUCUUGUAACAUCAACAAAGUUCUUUGGAUUGUCGUCGUGAUAAAUUGCAAUGUCAUCAUCUUUAGAUCGCAAGUUCCACAACAAAACCCUGUCGAGAUCGAGAAAAAAUGAUUCUAGAAGAAACUUCAACUAGAAACCUGUGAGGUCGAUGUGCCACAUCACUACAAGUGUAGUAAAGAUAUUCUCCAGUAUCAGACCACUCCACGCUUACUACACCAUCGGUUUUGUGCUCCAGGAGGAGGCUAUCAGUUUCCAAGUCUUUGAUAAACAAUGUGAACAUCUCGUUGCCACCCAAGUCGAUCGUGUAUGCUAACAGUUUGUAGUCUCUGGAUAGUUUAAAAACUCCAAGCUGCGCAUGGCCUACACUUGUGUAAUUAGGAAGAAGAGAGAAACAAGGAAAGAUCCUCAAAACUUUACCGUGCUCGGCAGCAAGCUCAUUGAUGUCGAUCAUAACUUCACUGUUCUUGUCAAAAAAACUUGUAAAGAAAGCCUUCAGCCUUCCACCUUGGCGGGCUCUUCGUCUCGAGUAGAUGGGAAACUGUUUCCCUUGCGGGAUAUGCACGAAAUAGUACCUACAUUGUUUCUAAGUUCCUCAGCUAGGCAAAAAAAAAUCAAAACGACCAAGGAAGAACUCACCAAUCCCCCCAGCGCUCUGGAGGCGAUGCGAGCUCCUUCUCCAUCCUGCUCGCCAUUUCCUGGCGGAUCUGGCGCUGGAGCUCCCUUGUCCCAGCCAUGGUCGACUGCGCAGCCAGUGGUAGGGAUCGUCCCAUGUCACGCCGUGGCGCGUCUUGGGGAACGAUCUCCUCGGCGCCGCAGGAGCGAAUUGCCGCAAUGCGCGAUCUGGAAGAGAAGAGAGUGCGCGAGAGAAGCGGCAAAGCGCCAUAAAACCCUAGACCCUGCUUGGCAAGCAUAUUCCUGGAACCUUUCAAGCUCGCAAAAUGGCGGGAUGUUUAGAACCAUAGUAGGGUUUUGGAAUUUCUCCACGGUUCUCGCCUAAGGCGCAGUGGCUCUCUUCUUGCCUGUGCGAGCAGAUCGGAGCGUCUCAGUUACCGGUAGACUCUCGCGCCGAGAAAUGCUUCGCGCAGCUCCUCCGACGCUCCAGAGGUCCAGGCGAUGCACUUAUGUUCUACAAGUAAGUGGAAGGUUUCUAUAGCUUUUCAUCGAUGGAAGCAUAGCACACAGGUAGAUGAAGCGGUGGACAUUUUCAAGGAUCACUACCAGGAAGGAAUUGGAAGUCGAAGCUUGAAGCUAUCCAUGACCGAUGAUGCUCAACGAGUUUUUGGCAUUGAGUAUCGUCCUACCCCACAGCUCAAAGUAUUACAAGUCUUUGCCUUGAAUUUUCUUUUCUUCCAAUGCGAAAGGAAUGUCGGGGGAUGUUUCUUCUCGUCCCGGAAAUUGUUACUGUUCUUGGAGGACCUUGAAGAGGCUCGACAGAGCGUGGUACAUAAAGUACACAAACCUCCUCGGGGAAACAGGUAAAGUUUUCUUCUUCAAGUACUAGUUAAGGAUAUUUGCAGGCACCCGCGUGGUACUACUUGGAAGAGCAGCUUACACAAGCUGCCUGGCCCCGAACUCCAAGAAAACAAUGGCGCUGCAGCCAAUCCUGGAAUGAGCAGCAACCUUCUUCGACUGUUCGUGAUCAUCCAUAUACAGGUCUAACUUUGCGCAGUGACUGCGUUUGCUUAUUUUGAUUUUCUGGCUCAAGGCAAGCACCUGUUUCUAUAGAAGAUUUUUCUCGCGGUUCGGAUUCCUACAGUGAACAAACACCAAGUAAACACAAAGAAGGCCUUUCAAGUUUUCUCUCCAUGCAUAAUUCUUGUUAUCUUCACUUCAGAACAGCAUCGGACCUGUCGGCCUGGGAACUUCGCGUAUUCGUAUGCUUUUCCUCCAAUCCAAUCAGGAAACCAGGAGUAGAAGAAAACUUCGCAGUAAGUUUUAUGAUCUUCACGUCCAUUUUUCAGCCGCAGACAGCCUGGAGUCCCCUCCCUUUACGUCUGGCAGUUCUACAGAGGCGGUUUUUGGAGUCCGGUGUAGUUCAAUCAGGCCGAGUUAAGGUAAUAAAAGAAAAGAAAAGAAAUUGUUUUCUGAGCAAGGAUGCAUACCAGCUCGAAGAUGAAAGCCUUUUAAUGGAAGCUCUAGUGAACCACGAGCAAUUCUGUUUAAUCAAGAAUGGUCGCCGAUUAUGCAGCUGGUUGAGAGGAUGAUCGGACACUCCCCGUUGGAUGUAAGUGCUGCUAUAGAACGUCAAGCUUUUCUCAAGAGAUACCAGGUGUUUUCUACAAAGGCACACAUGAGAUAUUCUCUUCUUAAGCGUGUGGUGAUCUUUUAUGUUCUCCAGCAUAGGGUUGUGGCCGUGAACGACUAUCCGGAAAUGGAUGGAGGCUUCUUGCGCGAGUUGAAGCUCUUCCAAUUUGCCGCCAGGAUCAUCAGCGAUCCCUUCCACUAUAUUGAAUUUGACUGUUCCCAUCAAGAGAAUAGAAAAGAAACUUCAUAACUUGCAAAGACAGUACUUGCAUUGCUAUAGAAAAUCUUUCUCGACAGGAAGAUCAUUGUCUCACAAAAAAAAUUCCACCCGGUGACCAAGCAAGCAAAGUUAGUACCUGUACUCUUCAAUCAAAAACGAUGCUUACCGAACUGGUGCUGGCUUUUGUUCUUAAGCUGCACGAGCUUUUUUCACGAUCAAGUCGCUGCCGCUGGGAAGACUCCUCUUCAUUCCACAGCGCCUGCUGCGUGUCGUCGUCUCGAUCUUGCUACUGCUGCUGCAAUGCUUCACGAUCCAGGGAUGUGCAAGCACACGGUCCAGCGUUACCCUCUUGCUCGGUUCGACAGCUAACAUCCCCCGGAGAAGAUCCUCCGCCCGGUCCGAGCCAAAACCAGUUGGAAAUGCUCCCGCUCUCAAGAAAUCGAUUUCCAUUCUCGAUUUGUGACCUUUCAACAGCUCGUACGCAAUGACUCCCAAACCCCACACAUCAAUGGCUGCCGUGUAGAAGUUCUGUGAUUCUCCCUUGCGGCCCUUCCUCGCCAUCACCUCUGGUGCCAUAUACUUUUCCGUGCCACAGUACUUUGACAUCUCCCUGUGCAGGUCUGUGGCUAUCCCGAAGUCUCCAAUCAGAACAUCGUGCACACCAGUGGCAUUGAGCUUGACAAGAAUGUUCUCCGGCUUGAGAUCCCGGUGGAUAAUUCCCCUGGAGUGGAUCUCCUUGAGCGUUUCAGCCAGCUUCUUGAUGGUCUUCGCUGCAUCCUCCUCCCUCAUCGGCCCACAGUUGAUCAAUCCCUCGCAUAGGUUUGGGCCGCACAGCUCCAUAACGAUGGUGCCAUAGCACUUGGCACCAUCUCUCUCCCGGACAAAGCCCAUGAAGGAGACGACCCCAGGGCAGGCGUGAAGCUUGGACAUAAGCCGAGCUUCUCUCUCGGCAUCACUCCCCGAUCGAAACAACUUUCCAGCAUAUGUGUUGCGGCCAUUAUGGAUCAUGAAAACCUGCCCUUGCCCUCCACAUCCCAGCCGCUUGCCCCUCAUGUAAAACUUGAGAAGCUCACUACAGUCAUCCUCGCUCAACUCACCGGUGUCACGCGCCAUCGCUCCCAGACCUUCUUGCUGAAUGGAAGACCUAGCUUCUUCAAAACGGGUUUAUAUCGACGGCUGGGAUGAUCUUUGAUGGACGGUGGCGAUUUCAUGGGACAACCUGAGAACCUAGGCCAAGUAGUGACGCUAGUGUCUUCUCGCCCAAAACAUUGGACUCUAUCUGUUUGGAGAUAAGCCAUCCGGAUGAGGUGGGAGGAUACUACCACUACACCAGCUGCGCUUCACCAUGGAAAAACCUUAGUUACACGAGGCAGUGACAAAAAUUUCUCUAAGUUCUGCUAUAAACUAAGUCGUCACAAAACGUUUGGUCUUAUGAGCUCGAUGCUUUCAAAGACGAGUUAUAUGUUCCUGGAUUGCUGUGUUGAAUCAUGUGUUGGAUUAUUAAACUUGUUGCCACAGGCCGUUGGCGGUGGCCUGUGGUGAGCUCUGCCCUGAUUUUUGUUCUAGUCGCUUUGUUUCCUUUCCUGGUCUCAGAGUGCCGAAUUUUGUGAAUCUCAUUCAUCGCAAUGCAGGUCCUUUCGAUCGAUCAUCCUCAUGAUAGCUACGACGAGAGAACGAAGGAUAGAUCCUCAAAACUUUAUCGUGCUUCGCAGCAAGCGCAUUGAUGUCGAUCAUCACUUCACUCUGCCUCUUGUCGAGAAAAUUUUGUCAAGAAAGCCUUCAGCCUUCCACCUUUGCGGGCUCUUCGUCUCGAGUAGAUGGGAAACUCUUUCCCUUGUGGGAUCUGCACGAAAUAGUUCCUACAUUGUCAUUAAGCUUUUCGUCUAAGCCAAAAACUAAAAAGUUCAAACGGGAAGAACUCACCAAUGCCCCCAGCGCUCUGGCAGCGACGUGAGCUCCUUCUCCAUCCUACUCGCCAUUUCCUGGCGGAUCUGGCGCUGCAGCUCCCUUGUCCCAGCCAUGGUCGAUUGCGCGUGCUGAUUCGUCCGAAUUUCGCAGCCAGUGGCAGGGAUCGUCCCAUGUCACGCCGUGGCGCGUCUUGGGGAACAAUAUCCUCGGCACGGCAGGAUCGAAUUGCCGCAAUGCGCGAUCUGGAAGAGAAGAGAGUGCGCGCGGCAAAACACCAUAAAGCCCUUGCUUGGCAAGCAUAUUCCUGGAACCUUUCAAGCUAGCAAAAUGGCGGGAUGCUUAGAACCCUAGUAGGGUUUUGGGAUUUCGAUGGAGGAGCGGGUUGUGGAGAUUAUGGCUUCUCGCGGAAUGCGGCCUAAGGCGCAGUGGCUUUCUUCUUGCCUGCGCGAGCAGAUCGGAGCGUCACAGUUGCCGGUAGACUUGUGCGCCGAGAAAUGCUUUGCGCAGCUCCUCGCUGCCGAUUUCAAUCUCGUCACCGAUGCUGUGCUUCCUCCAGGGGUCCAGGCGAUGCACAAAGUGGAGCUAGCGGGCCCUUUCGUUCUACAAGUAAGUGAAAGUUUUUCUAUAUUUUUUUUUAUCGACGGGAGCAUGGCACACAGGUAGAUGAAACGGUGGACAUUUGCUGCGGCCUCAAGGAUCGCUACCAGGAAAGAAAUGCUGGAAUUGGAAGUCGAUGCUUGAAGCUAUCCAUGACCGACGGUGCUCAACGAGUUUUUGGCAUUGAGUAUCGUCCUAUCCCACAGCUCAAAGUCUUACAACCAGCUGGUUUGAAGGUACACGUUCAAGAAAUCCUUUAAAGUCUUUUCCAUGAUUUUUCUUUCUCCCAACCGCAGAUUUGCGUAAGGAAUGUCUGCGUCCGGAGAGGGAUGUUUCUUCUUGUCCCGGAAAUUGUUACUGUUCUAGGAGGUGUUGUCCAAGAGCUUGAAGAGGCUCGACAGAGAGUGGCACAUCAAGUAAACAAACCUCCUCGGGGAAACAGGUAAAGUUUUCUUCUUCGUGUACUAGUUAAGGAUAUUUACAGGCACCCGCGUGGUACUACGCCACCAUCGUUGGAAGAGCAACUUACACAAGCUGCCUGGCCCCGAACUCCUGACGUCCAAGAAAACAAUGGUGCUGCAGCCAAUCCUGGAAGUGAGCAGCAACCUUCUUCGACUGUUCGUGAUCAUCCAUAUACAGGUCUAACUUUUGCACAGUGACUGUGUUUGCCUUCUUUCUUUCAUUCUUCUAUCCUUGUAUUUUGAUUUUCUGUCUCUACUUUUUUGUCUUCAGGAAGGCAAGCACCUGUUUCUAUAGAAGAUUUUUCUCGCGGUUCAUAUUCCUACAGUGAACAAACACCAAGUAAACACAAAGAAGGCCUUUCAGGUUUUCUCUCCAUGCCUAAUUCUUUUGAUGUUCACCUCCAGGACAGGACGAAACUACGCAUCGGACCUCGUCUGGUACACCUUCCGAGACUUCUAUCGGCCUGGGAACUUCGCGUAUUCGUAUGCUUUCCCUCCAAUCCAAUGAAACCAGGAGUAGAAGACAACUGCGGAGUAAGUUUUAUGAUCUUCAGAUUUUCGUGACAUAUGCCCGUCCAUUUUUCAGCCGCAGACAGCCUGGAGUUCCCUCCCUUUACGUAUCUGGCGGUUCUACAGAGGCGGUUUAUGGAGUCCGGUGUAGUUCAAUCAGGCCGAGUUAAGGUAACAAAAGAAAAGAAAAAAGAAAGUACGAUUCGUUUUCUGGAUACAGUGUUUCCUUACAGCCAUGAAAGAGUUCCUUUUCAAGGAUCGCAAUGCAUACCGGCUGGCGAUAUACAUCGAAGAUGAAAGCCUUUUAACAGAAGCUCUAGUGAACCACGAGGUAAAGCUUCAAUUCUGUUUAGUCAAGACUACAGUCUCCGAUUUUGCAGCUGGUUGAGAGGAUGAUCGGACACUCCCCUUUGGAAGUAAGUGCCGCUAUAGCGAGCAACGAACACGCGCGAAUGAAAUCAAAGAUGAGAGAACUUCAAGCUUUUCUCAAGAGAUACCAGGUAUUAUUAUUUUUCUUCUUGUACUUUUGACUGGUUAUUUUCUUCAGGGAUACAUGGACAUAGAAUUCGGGGACAUCGUGAGGGUUGUGGCCGUGAACGAAUGCCUACAUGCAUCUGGAGAUGGAUGGACCCUUCUCGCCCGAGUUGAGGCCCAAAGCUCGAGUAGUAUGGAGAUGGACUUGUUUAAUAUUAAUUAGAAUAUAUUUAUUGUUAAAUCACUCUAAUAAAAUAGUAUUAAUGUACUUAAAUCUAAAUUAUUAAAUUAAUGUGGCAUUCAAUAAAGUACAAUUAAAAGUUUUACACAGUUGAAUUUUAUAGAUAUUUUUGUCAUUAAAAUUAAUUAAGUGUUCAAAAGUUGGAUCCUAAUUGUUUUGAAACCAGGAAUAACCUUUAAAAAAUAUUAUUUAUUACGUUUGCUAUCACAAAGUAAAUCAUUAUAAUCCAUAAAAAUUACUUUAAAUAAAAAUGUAAAUGAAUUAAAUUUGAUACUGGAUUGUGUACAAGUGGGACAAUAAUGACACUACAACUCCCAUUAUCAUCCACUUGUAGAAUAAAAAAUAGAUAACUUGAUGUUAGUUUAUUUUUUUUAAUCUUAUAGUAUAUAAUUUAUUUAAGGGGCUCCUUGCUCAAUAGAAGGGAUUGUAUUGGGUGUUCUGUCAAGUUAAAUUGUAAGUUUAUGAGGUUUGGAAUGAUGUUUAAUAGACUAAUCUUCCAAAAAUUAUGCAUAUGUAAUAGUUAUAACACUUCAUACAAAAGGAGUAGGAACAACUAGCACUACUUAUAGAUUUAUUGAUGUUGGGACAAAGUAUACUAUAUAUUAUAUACUAAUAUUAGUAUAGUGGAAUUUUGAUAGCUGUUGGAUUGGUUUUAAUCUAGGCCACUCACUCUUGUAUAUAAAUUAAGGUGUUUAUGUUAAUUAAUAUGCAUAUUUUUGUAUUCCAUUUUCAUAUUCUAUACACUCAUACUAGAAAUUAAAUAAAAUAUUAUUUUUAAUUAAUUUUAUUGUUAUAAUUAUUCCUCCAUAUUAAUUUUUAUAAAUGUUAAUACUAAUUUUCUGGUAUCUUAUAAAAUUAUAAGUGUUAUACAAUUUAAUAAAAUUUAUUAUUAUUAUUAUUAUUAUUAUUAUUAUUAUUAUUAUAAGUAAAUGACUGUAUAAUUUUAUGAAAGCCUAAAAACCCUAAUAUUCUAUGAAUAAUUUGGUAUUACUAUAUUAACUAACAAGAACAACUCAUAAUAUAUUGUUAGAAUUAUUCAAUUGGAUUCCCAUUAUCAACAUCUUAGUAGCACAUUUUACAAAAUUAAACUAUAAUUUCAAAUAUUUAGAUAGGUUUUUAAAUAAUGAUAAAAGUCAUCAAACAACACAUGUCAACUUUUUAAAGCACUUAUUAAGUAUACAUAACAUUAUUAAAAUUAAUUUUUCAAGAACAUUUUUCCAGGGUAGUUAACCAUUAGCAAAAACUGUAUUUCUUUACAAAAAUUCUAACUUAGUUAUAAACUAAAACAAAUGCUUAAUGACAAUAUUUCAUGUUGAAAUCCAUUUCAAUCACCCCUCCAUUUGAUAAUAGCCUCCAGAUCAGAUAAUAUUGGUUAAAAGAGUCAAACUUUCAUGCUUUGCUUAAAAGAACCCUAAUUGUAGACCAUGAUGAAGGGCGGCCUGCCAUUAAACACCAUCCUCAUUCACUCUCUCUCCACUUACCUGGCGGUGAUAUGGCAUUAGGCCUUCUUUUUGUUUUUUUCUCCAACGCAGUCCUUCUCCCAUCUGUCGCUGCUAUGCACUCCCACCUGCAGCUAUUGCCUGCCUGCAGCUCCCACCUGCCCACUCACCCUCACAGCUCUUGCCUGCACUCUCGCCCACCCCCACACGCCCAAUGUGUGCCCUAAUUACUUCCACGUGGCCACAACCCCAACACUUAGCCAAAUUUCAAUUAGCACGCCCUAUUCCACCCAUAAUUGACCUAAAAAUGUUUCUGUUUCUUUUAUGAUCAAGCAUGGCGGCAGCACAUCAAUUUCUAGAGGUAAGCAAUCAAUUCAACUUCAUAUUGAUUCAAGAAAAUCAUUGAGGAUCCCCAUGGCUUGAUGAGGUGCAAGAAUUCUAUGAAAAGGAUUGUUUUUGUGUAGAUGAUUUAGAUUGGAAUUUGUCUAAAUUAAAUGAAACUAUAGCUCUUAUUUGUGAGACAUAAAUCCCUAAGCCCCAAAGUGAAGUUAAAAGGGUGCCAUGGGGUAAUGGCCAAAGUGGAAGCCUAACACAUGUAACACAUUUGGACUAAAAGCUCCAACUUGGAUAAUUGAGAGUGGGAGUGGAACUCCCAACAAAGAGCUCAAGGAACGAGCACAAAGCAAGCAAUAAAUAAGUCUCUAGAAAAGGGACACAAAAGGACUAAACAUAUAAUACGUGGAAGUGUCGAGAUGGACCCGAGAUGGAGUCUGAGAUGGAGUCCGAGAUGAAGUCUAAAAUGGAGUCCGAGAUAGGAUCUGAGAAGGACCCAAGAUGGAGUCUGAGAUGGAGCCAAGAUGGAGUCCGAUAUGGAGUCCAAGAUGAAUCUGAGAUGGAGUCCAAGAUGGAGUUCAAGGUCAAGGCUAAGACUGAGGCCGAUACUGAGACCGAGACUGAAACUGAGACUGAGAUUGAGUCUGAGUCUAAGUCCGAGACCGAGUCUAAAUCCGAAUCUGAGUCUAAAUCCGAAUCUGAGUCUAAAUCCGAAUCUGAGUCUAAGUCCGAGUCCAAGGGUGAAAGCCUAAAGCAUUCGUCUCCCAAACCCUAGGGGGUUUGGUGAGCUCUAAAAAUAUAGUAGAGGGAGGACUCUAGUAGAGCUAAUUUAGCCAAGAAAGGCUAGUGUGACCAAGAAAGGCUAUACCCAUAUAUAGGGUGAUGAUAAAACCAUUGAGGAGUUCAAAACUAGAGUGAAUAUAAAUAGACAAUUUAGCUUCGUGAAGUGUUUAAGAGGUAACUCUAGCUCCCCUGGGAGAUUGAAUGGUCGAUAUUCCCAAUUCAAGUGUGGGUGGCAUUACUUGCUUGGAUAUUUAGCAUGGCUCAUCAAAACUUCACUCUAGACACAUGGCUAGGGCAUCUAAAGGUGGAAGGUGGGGAGUGUACCCACAGGGUUCGCAUAAGGCCAUGGUGUUUUGAAAUAUCGUCUCAAAGUCCUAGACUGUGGAAAAGAAGAGGAGUAACCCUCUAGUGUAGUGACCAAAAAUAUGCUCCUAUGGUGAGGAAGUCCUAGAGGAUAGUGGGAUUUAGUGGUUGGGCCUGAUUCACUCUCUCUCCACUUACCUGGCAAUGACAUGGCAUUAGGCCUUCUUUUUGUUUUUUCUCUAGCGCACUCCCUCUCCCAUUCGUCGCCGCUAUGCACUCCUGCCCACGGUUCUUGGCAUCCACAUGCCCUCAUGGCUCCCGUCUGCACUCCCACCCACCCCCGCACAUCUGCCCAUGCCCAGUGUGUGCCCUAAUUACUUCCUUAUGGCCAUAGCCCUAACACUUGGCCAAAUUUGAAUCAGCAUGCACGUGGACACCUUUUUGCAUGCUUUAUGUGGCCAAUGAAUGUCAUGGAUGACCAUUAGGAGUGGUGAUCCUAUGAAAUCUUCUAACUAAUUUAAAUAUAUGCAAUGUAAGUACAUAAAGAGUUUGUUUUUAUAUUUAUUCUUUACUAAGAUUGAUUUUUUCAUUUAAAGAACUUUUCUUUCUUAUCUUCCUCUGCCUAGUAAAAGGAAUUGCUUUUGGACUACUAAAAGCUUUUUUUUAUCUGUAAUUCUUUCCACCAAAGGUUUUGCCCGCUUCAUAACUAUUAACAUGCUAUUAAAAUUCUACUGCAAAAUGAAUAAAAUUGCAUGGCCUAGUUUUAAAGGUUGCACCUUUCUAUUGUAUCAUUUCUAAAUUGUUGUCAACCAUAGAUAAAAAAGCUUCUUCAUUAGGAAGAUUUUGUAAAAUAUCAAUCAUCUUUUGCUGCAAUAUCACUUUUAUAACUUUUGAUAGAGUGAUAUCUUCCUGCUCAAAGUUCAUAUCAAUAUUUAAAAUUUGUUUAGUGUAAAUUACUUGUAUAGUACUCCUUAGCUAAAUUUUUUGUUGAUGAUACACAUUUUGAUGGAUAUUUUUUUGCUCAAUAUUCAUAUAUAUUAGUAUAUAAAAUAUGCUAGUUUACCUCUAUGUAGUCUCCAACUAAAUUUUUUUGCUCAUGAUAAAAAUUUUGAUGGAUAUUUUUCUGCUCAAAUUUUUAUAAGUAUUUCAAAAUUUUAAUUAAUAAGUGAAUUAUCUCUGUCAUAGCUUCCAAGUCAAGUGCUUCAAAAUUUUGAUAAUGAUAAAAUAAGUCAUCUGACCUAGGUUCUAAAAUUACAUGUGAUUGUGAUGGUUGAAACUCAUAACUAGUUGCAAUUCAGAUGGUUUUCUCUCCUUGUUUUAAUAUAAUAGUUUUUGCUUGAUGCUUGUAAAAGUUUUUUUUGGUUGCCCAUGGACAAUUACACCAAGUCAAAAAAUCCCAAUCACUGUGUCCUUCACUUCCAACAACAAAAUGCCAUAUAACUAGAUCUAAAAAGGAUUGUACAUAAGAUUUGUGAGUAUUGUUAUUAUCGAAUUUUAUUUGAGAGUUGUUAAUAUUUUUUGCUUUAACAAUCGCACCAUUGAUUAACUUUUCAUAUGAAUGGUUUCAAAUAAAACCAUGAUCUUUGUAAUAACUAGUAAACCAGUACUUUGCAUGAACCUUAGUAGUAAGUUGAUAAAUUGCCCAAUCAAUCCUUCGAUUACGGGCAUGUUUUUUCUCAAACGAGUGUAUAGCUUUCAUAUUUGCAUGGAAUGCCUUAAUCAAAAUAUUUAUCUCCUUGUUAGCAUGAGGGAAAUUUCGAGCAGCAACAACCCACAUAUCUAUUAAAUAUAAAUAGAAAUAUAUUAUAAAAAUCAAAAUAUUGAUUCACUAACCAACUUUGUCCUUCCAUUCAUCUUGAAAAUACUUGAUAAAGGCUACUUCAUUUUGAAAAUCCACCUCAAAAUGUUCAAUAAGUUGUUUAAUCUCAGUUCACAUAAUAUUAUCAUCAUCAAAAGCUACAUAAAUUAAAUGAUACAUAAUAUCUUCAAGACGUUUCCAUAUUUCCUUCCUAAUAUCCUAAAUUUCACUUUAUGAAUAAUAUAUCUGAGCCAAUUCCUUGUUACAUACCAAAUAUAUAAUAAAAUUUGACAAUCAAAUGUAGCUCUAUAUAAAAGAAAAAAAAUUAUAUCAUUUUAAAUUAAUUACCUUAUACCAUUAAUCUAUACUUCAGCAUUAUUAAUCAUUAUCACAUAUGGUUUCCAUUCUGGUAUGUGUUCUAAAAUUCAUUUUUUAAGAGAUAUCAUCCAAUUCUUCAUAUGUUCUUCUUUUUCAUUAGAAGUUAAAACUCAGGCCCCAAUAUGCAAUUGGAAUACUAUUUCCAUGAUAAUCAAAAGCAAGGUGUAUAAUGGGAACUAUAAAUUAUUAAAUAUUAUUCACUUAAAAAUAAAUGAAAAUUUUACCUUGUAGCAAUUAGUUCCAAAAGUUGCAUCAAGACUCAAUAAAUUAUUAUUUGCAAAGUCCACCAUCUUUUGUAGUUGCCAAGUUAUCUGAAUCCCAAUAGUUAAACAAUCUUUAUCUCGAUCACCUUCCUAAUAGAAAAAUACUUUCUUAGGAUUUGUGUUUUUCCAAAUAUGUACACUCUAUGCAUCAUUCUCAUGUAGUUGAUAAGUUGAAAGCAAAUACUUCUUAUGUAAAUUAUUGAUAUCUUGUAUACGUGGAAAAUCAUCUCGAGAAGCUGAUUUAUUUCUUCCCACAAUUUGUAUAUGCUCAUUACAAAUUUGAUUUGAUGUGAAAUCUUGCUAGAUCAUAUGAAUCAUACAAUAUCGAAUAUCUACUGAAAGCUUCUAAGAAAAUAAUGACUUUCCUCCAGUUGGAUCAAGUUGACCAUGACAAGGAAUCCCAUUCUUAUCACAAUGCUCUCUAUGAUAAUAUGUAAUCUACACAUAAUCAAGCUAUUUGUAAAACUAUUUGACCAAAAAAUUGUAAAGACAACCCCGUGUAAGCUUGUGAGUUUAAACUUCCCGGAAAGCCACCCAGCUCAAUACUAUUCAAACCCAAAGAUGUCAAGAAACCCCCAAUUCUUGCCACAUUCCUGACUCUCACCGGAUUCCUGACUCGCAGACCAUAUUCUUGACUCUUGAGACAGUUCCCUAUUCCUGACUCUCGAGACACUUCCCUAUUCUUGAUUUUCUGAUUUCCCAUACGAUUCUAGAGUCUUGAACCACAUUCUUGAUGAUGAUGUGGCACCUCCUUGACCUCAGCUAUAUUUAGGCCGUUCUCGAUCCAAGAGUGGUGAAGCUUCCUUAAUCUAUAGUAUAUAUAGGUUAACCUUGUUCCAUUUUUUCACAAUUUGAAUCAACGCCAGUCUAAGGCCUUUUCUUUGUUUCCACUAGCUUUUCUCUUUGUCUUUUGCAUUUUCUAGUUUUGAUCUUGUUGGGGGUCUUGAUAGUUUGAUUCAGAUUGUGUUUUUUGCUUUUGCUUUAGCUCGUUUUGAUUGUUUGACUGCCUUUGCCUUUUUUCCCCCUUUUCUUUCUUUUUUUCCGAUGGAGUCUCCAAGCCAUCCUGAUUUCUUUGCCGAAGUCCUUGCAAAAAUCCAGUCUGAGAAUACCGAGAUGAAGGUGACUCUUCUUCACAUGCAAUAGGAGCUUGCUUCACUUUUGGCUCAAGGAUCAAGCGAGUUCCUGAACCAAAGGUGAGUCCCCGGCGAAGUUCUCAGGCAAGCGUUCAGAGCUUCGCGGAUUCCUGGACCAGAUGGAGCUGAUCUUCGCACUUCAACAUUGGCGGUACCCCACUCCCGAGUCUCAAAUCGGCGCGAUUGGGACGUUGCUCGAAGGUGUAGCUUUGUCAUGGAUUUCUCCUCUCAUGGAGAAGAGCAUGAAAGGGGUCGUGGUUCUGGAGCUGAUGGAUCUUCAAUUGUUCAAAGAGAAGCUCGAAGCAUGUUUUGGCGAGACGGAUCGGGUUCGGGCUGCCACCACAAAGAUGAGACGUCUCUCUCAAGGGUCUCGUUCUGCCUUGAUCUAUGCUGUAGAGUUCCAACUCCUUGCCUUGGACACUCAGUGGGAUGAGCGGGCCCUGAUUGAUCAAUUUCAUUUUGGCCUCAACAACAGUGUCAAGGAUUUGUUGCUCACCAUGGAGGAUCCCACGGACCUGUCGGAUGCCAUCGACAAAGUUUUUUGAUGUGACAAUCAUCUCUUUGAACGUCGUCAAGAAAGUUGCCACGCCACCGUUUUCUUGUCCCAGACUCAGGAAUCCCAGCUUGAGUCUUCGGGGCAUAUUCCUGAACCUAUUACUCCGGUCCUAAUGGAUAUCUCUGGUACUCCCCGACUCAUUAGAGGGAAGUUGAGUCCUAUUGAGAAGCAACAUUGAGUAUCUCAUAAUCUUUGCCUCUACUGUGUUGAUCCUAAUCACAAAGCAGCUGUGUGUCCCAAGAAGCCUCCUCGACUGCUCGAAUUCACUCUGCCUCAAGGUCCACCUCUAUUGCAGUCGGGAAACGACCCUGUCCAAAUAGAGUAGGAGCUAUCUGUUUGGACUCCCCGAAUAAAAAUCACUUUUCUUCUUUAUCAAGCUCCUCACCACCUUUCAUCAAAGCCACCACCAAUUUCCACAACUUCCACAUCCCAUGUCUCCUUUCUUUUACUGGACAAUCAGGACUCAAGGCUUUGGCCCUACUGGACUCGGGUGCAACUUCCUGCUUCAUGGACACGGAUUUUGCUACCCGACAUCAUGUUCCUCUUUCUCCUACUAUAUGGGAUCUGAGGGUUGAAGGCAUUGGUGGGCAUUUUGUGUCUCCAUUUUCUAGACUUAGGGAAAUGUUGCCCGUUCGAGUACACAUCGGGUCUACCGUCACUGAUAUCACCUUCAGCAUUAUCAACAGCAAGUCCUCCUCUAUAGUGCUUGGCCUUCCUUGGUUCCAACUGCACCAGCCCUAGAUCUGUUGGAAAGAAUUACAACUUAUCUCUCCCACGUCACCAUCUCCCACGUCUUCCUCUGCUAUUCAUCGAGUCCGAAUCAGGAAAAGUUCCCUAAACUCAAAUCAGGGUUUUGUUCUUGACUCUACAAAAUUUUCACCCUUUUCUUUCCCCUCUCUUCCAUAUUACACUAGACAGUAUCCUCAUCUCAUCAUUCCAUUCAGUUGUACGCCUCCUCCUAUCUCCACAAUCACAAUGAAAGAACUCCUUCAUGAAGAACUUGUUUUCCUUUUUGCUUUACAUGUUUCUCUUGUCAGUCUUCCUAAGAAGUAUCAUGAUUUUGAGGAUGUGUUUGACAAGAAAAAAGCUAGUGUACUGCCUGUUCAUUGGCCUUAUGACUGUUCUAUUGAUUUACAGGAAGGAGCGUCACCUCCGUGGGGGCCUAUCUACGGAUUAUCCCCGUCCAAGCUUAAGGUCCUCAAAGAGCAUGUGGACGAGAACUUUGCCUCGGGGUACAUUCAGCAUUCGCAGUCCUUGGUUGGAGCACCUGUCUUCUUUGUCAAGAAGAAGGAUGGGAGUUUGCGGCUAGUCAUCGACUAUCAAGGUUUGAACAAGGUGACUUUUCAGAACCGUUAUCCGUUGCCCUUGAUCUUGGACCUAUUGGAACACCUUGGCGGUGCCCACUUCUUCACCAAGAUCGACCUCUGUGGAGCAUACAACCUGAUCCAGAUCCGGCCUGGCGAUGAAUGGAAGACUGCGUUCCAAACCCGCUAUGGCCACUUCGAGUACACUGUCAUGCCGUUUGGCUUGACAAAUGCUCCAGCAGUUUUCCAACACAUGGCAAACGACGUGUUUUGGGAGUUUCUUGAUCAAAUGGUGAUCGUCUACCUCGAUGACAUCUUCAUCUACUCAAAAACUCAGGAGGAGCACGAUGAGCAUGUGCGCAAGGUGCUAGUGAAGUUGCAGGAACACGACCUAUACGCGAAGCUUGAGAAAUGUUCCUUCGAUUAGGAGUCUAUGGAGUUCCUUGGGUACAUUGUCACUCCUGAGGGUAUCACGAUGGAUCCUGCCAAAGUCAAGACUAUUCUCAAAUGGGAGCCUCCACAAUCAAUGUCGGACAUUCAAGUUUUCCUUGGCUUCGCCAACUUCUACCACAAAUUCAUUGCUCACUACUCUAACAUUGUCCUUCCUGUCACGCAUCUCACUCACAAGGAUGUUCCCUUCUCUUGGUUUGCUGCUACCCAACAGGCCUUCAACACACUCAAGGUGGCCUUCAGUUCUACUCUUGUUUUGAUCCACACUAAUCCCUCACAACCUUUCUUCAUCAAGGUGGACACCUCCGACUUUGCCAUCGGUGCUGUGCUGUUUCAAUUCGGAGCGGAUCAAGAAUUUCAUCCAGUCGCUUUCCAUUCUCAAAAAUUCCAGCCUGCGGAGAUCAAUUAUGAAAUCCACGACAAGGAGCUCCUUGCCAUCGUGGAUUCCUUUGGAGAGUGGUGUCAUUUCUUAGAGGGGGCAAGCCACCAAACAAUGGUCUCGAUGGAUCACAAAAAUCUUGAGUACUUUGCCACUUUCCAAGUUUUGAGCUAUCGUUAGGCAAAGUGAGCACAAUUCCUGAGUCGGUUUAACUUUGUUAUCAAGUAUAGACCUAGAAAGCUUCAGGGCUUUUUUGAUACUCUUUCAAGGCGCUCCUAUCUCAGUCUCAAGCCUGGUAAUCUUGCCUUCGAUCAACAGGAUCAGGUUAUCCUCGGUCCUGAUCAGCUUCAUGUUAUGGCAAUUUCCCUGGCCCCUCAAGACUCCUCCUUGAUGGAUGCGAUUAGAAAUAAUCUUCAAUCUGACAACCUCGUCAGCGACAUUUUCCCCCAUCUUUAGGCUGGACACCCAGUGACUCCUGACUGCUAGCAAUUUGAUGAGUUCAAGGUUUUAGAUGGCUUGUUGUACCAUGGGGAGCAGCUUUAUGUUCCUGAAGGUGAUGCUCGAAGGUUGGUCUUAAUAGCGUGUCACGAUAGCCCAACUGCUGGUCACUUCAGCAUUGUGAAAACCUAUGAGCUGGUUGCACGGGACUUCUGGUGGCCCCACAUAGAGGACUACAUCAAAGUUUUUGUUACCUUCUGUGACACUUGCGCCCGAAAUAAGGUACCUCACCACCUUCCUUCAGGUUUGCUUCAUUCCCUCCCAGUCCCUUCAGGUCCUUGGGAAUCCAUCUUCAGGAUUUCUUGAGUGAUCUUCUGAGUUCUUGAGGCUUCAAUAGCAUUUGAGUUGUGGUGAAUCGCUUAACAAAGAUGGCACACUUUCUGUCGUGUACCAAGGAGUUUUCGGGCGAGGACAUGGCAAAAUUGUUAUUUAAGGUAAUUUUGCGACUUCAUGGGAUUCCUAUAGAUGUGGUUUCGAAUCAGGGACCUCAGUUCAUCUCUCAUUUUUGGCAAUGGUUCUUGCAGUUGCUUGGAGUGAAGGCCAACCUCUCUUCAGUGUAUCAUCCUCAAACUAAUGGAUAGUCGGAGUGAAUGAUUCAAACAUUGGAACAAUUAUUAAGGUGCUUCAUCAAUUAUCAUCAAGAUGACUGGUUCGAUAUCCUUCCCUUUGUUGAGUUCUCCUAUAACAACUCUGUUCACUCCUCCCUUCGAGUUUUCCCCUUCUUUGCAAACUCUGGCUAAAAUCCUCAAUUCAAUCUCUCACUUCUUUCUCCAUCUGAAUCCUCUCAUUCAAAUCCCCACUUUGAGGUAUUUGUCUCCAACCUCCAGGAAAUCCACAACUCCAUCUCCUUCCACCUCCAUCGUGCUCAGGAAUCUCACAAAACAUUCGCCAAUGUCCAUCGUUAGGAUUGUCCUCCUUACAAUAUCGGGGAUAAAGUUUGGCUCCUCAAGCAAAAUAUCUCCACCACCAAGCCAUGUCCCAAACUCAAUUUCAAACGCCUCGAUCCUUUCCCUAUCACUACUAUCAUUAAUCCUAUCACUUAUCACCUUGCACUUCCCUCCUCAUAUCAAAUUCACCCUGUUUUUCACUCCUCUCUCCUUGAGCCUUAUAUUCCCAGUCCUAUUCCAAAUUGGGUCAUUCCUCCACCUCCACCAAUGCAGCUCAAAGAUGGGUCUGAGUAUGAGGUUCAGGACAUCCUUGAUUCCAAGAUCUCACGGUCUAAAGUCUACUAUUGAGUAGACUUGAAGGGUUAUGGACUUGAGAAACGCACUUGGGAAUCUGCGGACAACUUAAUUCAUUCUCCUGACUUUGUUCAAGACUUCCACUACUGCUAUCCUUCUUGUCCCAGUCUUCAUUCUUUUCAUUCUCCCUCUCCCAUCCCUCACCGCCCAUUUCAUCCUCCUCUUCGUUCCUAUUCACGUACUCAUUUCACUUGUUCUUGAGGAGGGGGUGCUGUCAGAUAUCCUCCAAUUCUUGCCACAUUCUUGACUCUCGCCGGAUUCUUGACCCGUAGAUUAUAUUCCUAACUCUCGAGACACUUCCCUAUUCCUGACUCUCUAAUUUCCCGUACAAUUUUUGAGUGUCAAAUCACAUUCUUGAUGAAGAUGUGGCACCUCCUCGACCCCAGCUAUAUUUAGGCCGUAAGAGUGGUGGAGCUUCAUCAACCUAUAGUAUAUAUAGGUUAGCCUUAUUCCAUUUCUCCAUAAUCUAAAUCAACGCUAGUUUAAGGCUUCUUCUUUGUUUCCAUUAGCUUUUCUAUUUGUCUUUUGUAUUUUCCAGUCUUGAUCUUCUUGGGGGUCUUGACAAAGGAUGCUUAACCCCAAAUAUCCUAAGACCCUUAACUGAUUAAAAAAGGGGGUGCACUCUUAUUCAUGGGCCCUUUCCUUCUAUAUUUGAACCCCUAUGGAUCAUCUCUCAAGUCAUUCUCUUUGGUUGCUUACAAUCCACCACAUUUUCCUGCAAGUUCACGCCCUCAUGAACGGAAGCUGAGAGCUGCAGCUCUCCUAAAAGCCCUGCUCUCUUGACACCCUACCCCUUGGGUCGAGCCCAGCCGAAGCAAACUAGACCUGCCAAAUAUCAAUCAACAUGUGGUGCGAUUCCCUUAGCCAACCAGCAGAGUCGGACCCGCCAAAAGCACGACCAAAAUGAUAAAGAGUUCAUUGGAUUGGACCAAGUCUAAGAUCGAGUCCAAGACUAACUUUGAGACUGAGUUCAAGACAAAGUUUGGGAUCGAGUCCGAGUUGACUUUGAGACUGAGUUCAAGAUUGAGUUCGAGACCGAGUUUGAGACAGAGUCCGAGAUCCGAGAUCAGGUCCAAGAUUGAUCGAGUCUGAGGUUUAGGAACCAGUCUUGAAGGAUCUCUCCAAUGGUGCUUCCAAACUAACUUGAGGUUGAGACAGGGGCUGAGGGGCCUUGGGCAGGAGUGAGCAUGGACUUGGGUGGUGCCAGAGGGGCCACCUCAGGAAGUGCCACUCCCGGAAGGGAAACUGACUGCAGUACUCCCGGCUCAUGUGAAGUGGUGCCCCAUUUGAGUACCUUGUGGCUCAUUGGUCCUCACCCUUCCUAGGGGCUUGGGCCUUCCGUUUUGGGAUGGGAGUGGGGAAGUAAACAUACCCAUAUUUGGUUGUUAGGCCACAGUGUUUCCCCCUACUAGUGUCCCGAAGCAAGUGUUGCCCCUAAGGCUUGGGAUUUAGAGGGUUCUAUGAUCAAGUCUUGUUGUACCAAGGGAUGUUAGGAAUCUAGAGGCUUGGUGUGGUUAGCUUCUUGUGCUUACGGGGAGUGUAGCUGAACCUUAAGUCCAAUCUCACUUGGGGAGGGGGAUUGGGAGAGAUUUGGGAAUCCAUGGAAGGAUGGUUAACACUCUAUUGCUUAUGUAGUGAGUUGUUAAAACCAAGUAAGACCAAGUAAGAGCUAGUACAAUAGGCAGAAACUUUGGCGAGGGAACUUAGCAAAGGCCAAAGUCGUGAUGGUCGAAUAGACAAGGUAAGCUAACAAAUUGGAAAGGAAAAAUUUAUGGCUUACACCCCUCUUGUUAGAGCUUCGACCUAGUCUACUUCCAAGUCUUAACCUUGGUGUAAAUUCAGCAACCGAAGAGGAUGUUUCACGUGUUAUGGUUUGGCAUAAAAAGACAGAAAUUUAGUUACCCUGGACUAUACUACACCACCUCUUGAGGUUCCUCACCACCCAACCACCCCCAAGCUACCUCAAAAGCUCCACUACGCUGCCACUCCACUGUGAGCCCUAGGGUAGGUUAAGUCCCUUAAAUAUACCCUUGAGCCUCCCUUUGACCAAUGUUGACCAUGUGGUCAAAGUUGGUGCCUAACAAUUCUUCCCCCCCAACAAAGUCCUUAUCCCAAAGACGAGUUGUAUUGGUGAUUACCCUUUUUAAGGAACCCUACUCAAACUCCUGAUCCAACUUCCAUAGUCGUACACAUCAGGGAGACAUUGGGCCCGUCACUCCGAAAUAAUACACCUUUCAUCUAAUUGACAUAAAAUACUAUAUGAAUUUUCACCCUAGUUGGCAGCCGCACCUGAUGUCGCAAAUGUGACUUCGGGUAUCGAAAGAUACUUGUCGGCCAGUCCUUACGGGCACUCUUUCCUUACUGCCACGACGGCAGGAGGUCGGUACUGCUGGUCCCUUUUAUAGUCUCCACUCAAGCUAGUUGAGAAACUGGUCAUCGCAUGUGCACUUGACCAGAUGAGCAUAAGGACGGAAUUCCUACAUGCUAUUUGUCAAGCAUACUUGACCUGGUUAGAGAAACUCAUUCGCUGACUUGCACUUGCUAGUGUUGGGAACCCCCGUGAUAUUGAGACUAGUCCCUCAAUAUUCGAUUGAUGAUAGCUUACCGUGUCUGCCAAACACCCUCGCUAUCAUGCCCUUAGUGUUGGUCUCAUUUCGGUCCCAUAUGCUAUUUAUGGGAAGUGUCUAGAUUCGCUCAUUUGGCAUAUUUACAGAAUGUAGAGAUCGGCUUGAACACAAUGGUGUUCAUCCCGUGUCCAAAUUCGCAAUCUAAGGCCAUUCCAUAUUUAGUAAGUUUCGGACUUGUCCCAGAGACUAACUCCUGGUACUAAGGGAGGCUUGGGGUGAAAGCCCAAAGCGUGUGUCCCUCAAGGGGGGGGGGGGGGGGGGGGGGGGGGAGGUAUAGUAGGGAUAGUGGUUGGAAUGCAUGUCCGACCACCUGAGACAUUAGUUUGGCUCCCGCUGGGCUGUGUCGCUCCUUGUUCUGCGUCCGGCUUGGGUCUAAGCCCAAGCUCCACGCUGCUCUAGUCGGUGGAGUACCCUCCUUCUCGCGUUAGGCCACCGGUAUGCCAAAAUUGUGCCAGACUCCGUCUGACACCAUUUUGCGUGCAGGUGCUGGAUACGGGGAGCUGGUGCUCGUGGGAUUGUACCGGACCCUCGUUUCGUAGCGCAACGGGCUUGGAGUUCGGCUCCAAAUUCAGGUGCGCUACAUUUGGUAUCAGAAGAAUUGUCUGAGCGAUUCCUAUCCAACUUUUGUCGGAUUUUCUGACUCAAGUUGCAUACACAGAGACUUUUCUAGUAGAUCCGAAGCGACCUGUGUAGGAUUAGUUGGAUAGCACCAUUCGGUAAGAAUGUUGUAUGCAUGUUCAGUUACUGAUAGAGGCAUGCAUGCAGCUAGCAAGAUGGUGAAGAGGAACCGUGCUGAUGAUGCUGAAACCUCUAGACGGGCGAAUCGAGAGGAGGAAACUCCUGCUAGAGAUGCUGCGGAAGAGGCUGAGGCCGAGUCGGAAGAGGAUGAGCCAAAUGCUACAGCACUGCAGCGCACGGCUCAUGAAGUCGAGAUCGAGAAUUUGCGAAAGGAGAUUCGCAAAUUGAAGAAGGAGAACAAGAAGAGGAAGAAAGAAGCUGAGGUAGCUAAACCAGCUAAGCCUAAGCAACCGGACUCCUCUUCAAGUUCUGAGGAUGAUGAAGUUCUGCAGCCGCCCCCGGUUGCACGAGUUUCAAAGUUCAAGCCUCCGAAACCACCCAAUUUCAGAGGCAUGCAGGACUAUCAGGUUUUGGAAGACUGGGUCUACGAUAUGGAGAACUACUUCAUAGCGGCAGACGUAGAUGAUCGUACGAAAGUUGCGUGCGCGCAAUCCUUUCUCACCGAUCAUGCCAAAACUUGGUGGCGCCAGGUGUGUGCUGAAAAAGGGCAGACUAGAAGUUGGACCAAGAUGCGGUCUCGUAUCCGUAAGGAAUACUUGCCGGAUGAUCUUGGUCUGAGACUUCGCGCAGAGCUGCGGCGGUUAAAGCAGCGAGGGGACCUUAUGCAUUACGUUAAUGCAUUUGCUCAGAAGCGCAUUAUGAUUGCAAAUAUGAGUGACGAAGAUGCUCAGAGUUAUUUCCUGGAGGGUUUAAGUUCACUUUCUCGAAAUGAGAUUUUGAAGUUUAAGCAGAAGACGUACCUAGAGUGUAAAGAGGCAGCACAGCAAGUUGCCUUUAGUCACUCGCUCAUAGAACAAUAUCAGCAAUCGUAUGCUGGUAACUCGGACAAGAAUAAGAAUUCUGGGAAUAAGCAAGGUGAUCGGAAACAAAGGGUGGAAAGUAGGUACCGCCCUGGGGGCUCACAAGCUACGGUGAAUAAAGGUGGUGGUGGUUGGAGACCACCAGCAGCUUCUUCUGGUCCUAGGCCCUCUGUUCCUCCUCCUGGUGGGUACAAGCAACAGCAACCUACAAAACCUGCUCCUAGCGGAAUGGGUAGUGUGGCUCAUUGCUUCCAUUGUGGAGAGUCGGGACAUAGGUCCUCAGAAUGUCCCAACAAGCAUAAGACAAGGUCUCGGGUUAAUGUCAUGAGGGAAGACGGUGGUGGUGAAGCCGAAGGGGUUGACGAGUUGGUCAAUGCAGACUAUGAGGAAGAAGAGGUGAGUAACUUUCAUUGCUUUCCUCAAGCUUUUCUUGCAGUCAAUGCAAACACUGAUCCGUUAAUGUAUCUGGUAGGCUUUGUCCGUGGACACCGAAUCCGAGUGAUGAUUGACACGGGAGCUACGCACAGCGUGAUAUCCGAAGACUUAGUUAAGUUGUUAGGAUUGAAUGCUGAGCAAAUGUCGCCUAUGCACUUCCGGUUUGCGGAAGGUGGGCAAGUAGCCAGAAAGUUUGUGAGUGAUGUUCCAAUAAAGAUAUCCAAGUGGAAAGAAAGAGUGGACUUGGUAGUGUUGAAGAUACCAGAUUUUCAGAUGGUGUUUGGUAUGGAUUUCUUCAACAAGUAUAUAAAAGGGAUUUAUGGUGCUGGACAAAGUCGUAUCACAUUGAAGUCAGAAGGACAUCCUGAUGUAUCCUUUCAGUUGCAAAAGCGUUCCUCAAAAGAUUGGGAUGCAAAGUUCCUAACUGCGAGGGCCGUUCAAAAAGCAGCUAAGAGGGGAUGUCAGACCUUUUGGGUUCAAGUGAUGGAAGCUGAGGGUGUUGGUGACUCAGUACGAAUUGGCGAUGGGGUUGAUCCUGUACCAAAAAGGAUAUUGGAGUUGUUGGCGAGGAAUCAGGAUAUCUUUCCGAAGGAUUUGCCGCCAGGGCUACCUCCUAGCCGUGAGGUUGAUCAUCGGAUUGAGAUUAUUCCGGGUUCUAAACCGCCUACGAAAGCUCCAUAUCGGUUGAACAUCAAGGAGAUGGCUGAACUCAAGAAACAACUCACGGAGCUUCUUGACAAAGGUCAUAUCCGACCAAGCAAGUCACCUUAUGGAGCGCCGGUCCUCUUCGUUAUGAAAAAGGAUGGAACCAUGAGGAUGUGUAUUGACUAUCGGGCACUCAAUAAGAUCACGGUUAAAAACAGUUAUCCUUUGCCUCGCAUUGAUGACUUGUUUGACCAACUCUUAAAGGCUAAGUAUUUUACGCGACUUGAUUUGCGGUCCGGAUAUCAUCAGAUAUGGGUGGCAGAUCAGGAUGUGGAGAAGACAGCCUUUAAGACUCGAUACGGAUCUUAUGAGUUCCUUGUCAUGCCGUUCGGGUUAUGCAAUGCUCUGGCAACGUUCAGCACUAUGAUGGAUAGAAUAUUCGGAGAUUAUUUGGAUGCAUUUGUUGUCCUAUAUAUCGACGAUGUUCUAGUCUUUAGUGAAACGUUGGAGGAUCAUUUGAAACACUUGGAGCUGGUGUUUCAAAAAUUGCGCGAACACAAACUAUAUGCUAAGGAAAGUAAAUGCGCUUUUGGUCAAUUGCACGUAAACUUUCUCGGACAUAUAGUUGGUGGUGGCGUGAUUGAGGUCGAUCCAAAGAAGGUGGAAGCGGUGAAGUCCUGGGAAGUCCCGACCACUGUAUCAGAUGUUCGUUCCUUUCUCGGUUUGGCGGGAUACUAUCGCAAGUUUGUCCGCAAUUUUGCAAGUAUUGCUCUUCCGUUGACUGAGUUAACGAAGAGUAAUAUUCCGUUUCAUUGGACACCAGCUACAACUUCCGUUGACUGAGUUAACGAAGAGUAAUAUUCCGUUUCAUUGGACACCAGCUUGUCAGCGUGCUUUUGUACGAUUGAAGUAGAUCUUGACUACGGUUCCUGUUCUCAGGAACCCAGAUCUUGAUAAACCCUUCGAAGUGCAUUGUGAUGCAUCUGGUUAUGCUAUUGGUGCCGUGUUAUAGCAAGAUUGUGACAAAGCAGUUGGUGUUACGCUAAAAAGACAUGGUUGUCCCGUUGCGUUCUAUUCCAAGAAAUUGGAUGAGACCCAACGAAGAUGGCCAACGCACGAGAAAGAGAUGUUUGCUAUAGUGUCGGCCCUGGAACACUGGAGACACUACUUGGGUGGACAUACUAAGGUUUAUACGGAUAGUAACACACUAAGCUACUCUGCUACGCAGCCUAAGCUUACGCCGAAGCAGGCUCGUUGGCAAGAGAAGCUUGCUAGAUAUGAUAUUGAAAUCAUAUAUAAAUCUGGUAAAGACAAUAUUGUUCCGGAUGCGUUGAGUCGUCAAGCUCAAUUCCGGGCAAUAUCAGCAAUCAGUUUGGACUGGUUGGAAGACAUUCGGGCUUCGUAUGGAAGUGAUCCAUUGGCGAAGACAAUCUUACGCCGUGCGGAGUUGUCGAAGCAGAGCCCUGGUAGCGAAGCAGCAAAAGUUGCUAGUCGCACUAAUGCGAAACUUCACUUCUCAGUUCGGGAUGGGCUUAUAUUCUAUAAGCAAGAAAGAUUGUACCUUCCCUCUAAGGAUCUUCAGCAGUUAUUUCUGCGGGAACAUCACGAUGUUCCAGCAGCAGGACAUGGUGGACAACGAAAGACUCUGGCUUCAUUGAAAAAGGGAUUUUUCUUGUCUGGUAUGGAAGAUGAUGUAGCGGACUAUGUCCGUUCCUGUCCUGUAUGCCAGCAAUGUAAGCGCAGAACUGAGAAGCAGGCUAGAAAGUUGCAGUGCAUUCCAGCACCGGCAUGGCCAUUUCAAAGUGUGACACUUGAUUUCGUCACUUGUUUGCCGAAGUCUAAGGGUUAUGAUACUUUGAUGGUGGUUGUGGAUCAGUUGUCAAAGAUUGCACACUUCAUUCCAACUGUGGGAACAGUAAAUGCGAAACAAGCAGCAAAGCUCUUUUUCCAUGAAGUAGUUCGAGUUCGUGGUCUUCCUGAAGAAAUGAUCUCAGAUAGAGAUUCGAGGUUUACGGGGAAGUUUUGGGGGACCCUAUUCCAGUUGUUUGGUACCAAGUUGAAGUUUAGUACAGCUUAUCAUCCUCAAACCGAUGGGCAGACCGAACGUGUGAAUGCUCAAGUUGAGGAUUAUCUGCGGUACUAUGUCGCGGCGGACCAAAGCGAUUGCAUUGAGCAUUUGGAUACAGCAGAAAUCUGUUAUAACAACACAUUUCACAGUGCUAUAGGCUGUUCUCCAUGGGAGAUGUUGCAAGGAAAUGCUCGUGGGGUUCCUCAACAGAUUGUUGUCCUGAAACCAAUGACCGAAGUGUUGGUCCCAGCCGUGGAAACUUAUGCGGAGCAGCUACGCCAAGGUUGGUCUAAAGCUACCGAGGCGAUGGGCAAAGCUCAGGAUAGGUAUCGACGUGAUAAGGAUCAGCAUCGUCAGGAUGUAUCCUAUCAAGUGGGAGAUCAGGUGUGGCUAUCUUCCCGAAACUUGAAUAUUAAGGGUUCUUUGUCUCGGAAGCUCUUGCCGAGAUACGUUGGACCCUAUCGGGUGUUAAAUCGUCUUGGUGAUGUAUCCUAUCGGUUGGAUCUGCCUACGGAGAUGUCCAAUGUUCAUAAUGUAUUUCAUGCCAAUCUAUUGGCUCCUUACACUAUGGAUGAUGCACGUCAAGGGGAGAUUCGUCCGCCACCAGAUGUUGUGGACGGUGAACCUGAAUACGAAGUUGAAAGCAUUCUGGCUUGUCGCCGGAAACGUGGUGGUCAUGCAAAGGAAUAUCUAGUUAAGUGGAAAGGUUACCCGACUUGUGAAUCAACUUGGGAACCUCUUAGUAAUCUUACCCAUGCUCGUGACCUUGUCACGGAGUAUGAGAAUUGUAAUAAAGCCUAGCUUUUGUAAAUCUUGUAAUAAAUCUUGCAAAUUAAUAAAGUAAAAUAUUUCUAUCACUCAAAGUGUCGUUUCUCUCGAUCAUUUGUACUUGGGUCAGUUUUGGCAGGCUGACUUCGGCACUUCGGUGCAUGGGUCCAAUCCAUAACCAUGGGGAUAACUAUUAUAGACUGAUCACAAGUCCCUGCCUCUCUCUCGAUGACUCCUUUUCGAAAAAAAAAAAAAAGGGGCGUGGUCGUGUAAACAACUUACUCUGCCAGUUUAUAAUAGUUGUCUAAAUCUUCCCGACGGGGUUGAUUUCUUGCUCAGGGGCAGUUGGGCCUCUGGCCUUCUCCCUAUAUCCCUGCGGGCAGGGAUGUAUCAUUCCUUUGUAAGCUAAGUGGUAUUCAAAGUAGCAAGGGUGGCUAACUCUGUUGGUCAUUUCCUUGUCGGCGACGGCCGGAGGGUGUCUGGGUCUUAACGUCUUUGGACGUAGAGGAGAGGUCGUUCCAUAACUCAUUUAAGUCGGUGUAUUUCCCCCAUAGUGUGCUUUCUGUUAACUUUCGAAGUUGUUUCCUUGACGGUUUGCUAGACUUGGGUAUGCAUCGACGAGGACGUCGAUCUUCCCCAAGGGGGGGAGAGUGUCGCGAAUGUGACUUCGGGUAUCGAAAGAUACUUGUCUGCCAGUCCUUACGGGCACUCUUUCCUUACUGCCACGACGGCAGGAGGUCGGUACUGUUGGUCCCUUUUAUAGUCUCCACUCAAGCUAGUUGAGAAACUGGUCAUCGCAUGUGCACUUGACCAGAUGAGCAUAAGGACGGAAUUCCUACAUGCUAUUUGUCAAGCAUACUUGACCUGGUUAGAGAAACUCAUUCACUGACUUGCACUUGCUAGUGUUGGGAACCCCCGUGAUAUUGAGACUAGUCCCUUAAUAUUCGAUUGAUGAUAGCUUACCGUGUCUGCCAAACACCCUCGCUAUCAUGCCCUUAGUGUUGGUCUCAUUUCGGUCCCAUAUNNNNNNNNNNNNNNNNNNNNNNNNNNNNNNNNNNNNNNNNNNNNNNNNNNNNNNNNNNNNNNNNNNNNNNNNNNNNNNNNNNNNNNNNNNNNNNNNNNNNGGGGGGGGGGGGGGCUGUGGGGGGUUCCAAAUGUAUAGUAGGGAUAGUGGGCUGUGUCGCUCUUUGUUCUGCGUCCGGCUUGGGUCUAAGCCCAAGCUCCAUGCUGCUCUAGUCGGUGGAGUACCCUCCUUCUCGCGUUAGGCCACCGGUAUGCCAAAAUUGUGCCAGACUCCGUCUGACACCAUUUUGUGUGCAGGUGCUGGAUACGGGGAGCUGGUGCUCGUGGGAUUGUACCGGACCCUCGUUUCGUAGUGCAACGGGCUUGGAGUUCGGCUCCAAAUUCAGGUGUUCUACACCUGAUAAGCUGCUUUACCAAUGUGCUCUAGCACUUCAUAUGGAUCAGCAUAUCAAUGAGAAAGUUUAUCACUCUUCCCUCUCUGCAAAGGCACCAAGGUGUUUUACCACUCAUUUGACAGAAAGAUCACUCGCAUAAAGAUAAGAUCACCCACUUUAUAUUCCCGAAUUUAUCGAUUCUCAUUAGCAAACUUCUCCACUCUAUCUUGAGUUACCUACAAAUUCUAUUUGCAUACCACCAGAAUCUUAUUAAGUUCUAUAGCCAGGUCAAUUGCUUCAGAAUCAAACUUAUUUUGAAUAUCCUUACUCAAAUGCAAUCCCAACUCCACUGUUGUUUGGGGAUGUCUUCCAAACAUAACAAAGUAAGGACUUUGCUUGGUUCCAAUGUGUGGGCUACUGUUGUAAGCAAAUUGCACUAACAAAAUAUAUAGAUCCCAUUGUCCUUGCCUUUGACUAACGCUACAACGUAGCAUAUCCUCCACCACUUGAUUUACAUGCUCAGUUUGCCCAUCUAUUUGAGGAUAAUCUCCACUCAAGAGUUUUAAAGUCACUUGUAUAGCCUUCGCAAAGCUCUUUUAAAAUCCACUUGUGAACUUUGAAUUUUGAUCACUAAUGAUAUCUUUUGGCGAACCAAAAUCAAAAAAAAAAAACCUUCUCUAAGUAGACUAUAGCCAAGUCUAGGACAAUGACAGUCUUCCGAAGAGCCAACAACUGCACAUACUUCGUCAACUGAUCCACUAUGACCCAUACUUGCUCCUUUUGCCUCUGUGUUCAUGGCAAACAAGUGAUGAAGUCCAUAGAAAUACUACACCAACAGCUCUAAAGAAUAAGUAAAGGUUGCAAAAGUCCCCCUGGCUUCUCCCGUGGCACCUUAACCUGUUGACAGAGCUCGCAUGAUUUACAAUACUUGAGGAUAUCAGCUUUCAUAUUCCUUCAAUAAAAAUUGCACUUAAUCAACUCAUAUAUCUUUUUCCCCUUAAAAUGACUGGCCUCCAGACAAUUAUGAUAGUGGAAUAAAACUUGAGUAAUUAACACAUCCACCCAUGGCAAAUAUACACAGCCAUUAUAAUAGAGAAUCCCAUCCACUAAUGAGAAAGGGGCUUUCAUUUGGUCACACAAAGAGGCCACCUCAACAUCUUGAGCCUGAGCAUGCUCAAUCAAUAGCCCAAACUCAUUGACCACUUUAUUCAAAUGAUGACAAAAUUAUGUUUGUAAUGCUGUCACAUGACGAAUACAAGAUAAAGCAUCCACCACCACAUUCGAUUUUCCUAGACGAUGCUCAAUAGGAAACUCCCCAAACUCCAUGAGUUUGACCAUCCAACAAGCUUGCCUAGUGUUCAACUCCUCUUGUGUGAAAAGAUACACAAGUGGUUUAUGAUCUGUCAACAUCACGAACACUGCACCAUAAGGAUAGUGCCGCUAUGUCCGCAAAGCAUGAACAAUAGAGACUAACUCUUGCUUAUAUAUGGAAUAACAUUGUUUUGCAGGAUUCAAAGUUUGACUCUCAUAUGCAAUAAGUUGUCCUUCUUUCAUGAGAACUCCUCCCAAUACAUAACCACUUGCAUCACAUGUCACUUCAUAAGGUUUUGAUGGAUCAGCAAUGCAAAACAUUGGAGCCUCUUUCAACAAUCAUUUUAGCACUACAAAUUUCUCCUCUUGUGGCUUCUUCCACUCGAAUGGCAAGUUCUUGUGCAACAACUGUGUCAAAGGAAUAGCCAACUCCACAAACUUAUAUUGGAAACAUUGGAAGUAACUAGCCAUUCCAAGGAAACUACAUAACUUAGCCAUUGUAGUUGGUGUAAGCUAAUUCUCCACCACAGCCACCUUCCUUGGAUCCGUCUUAACACCCUUAGAUGUCACAAUAUGGCUUAGAUAUUCCACCUCCGACUUUGCAAACUUAUAUUUGCUCUUCGUCAUAUAAAGUUUGUUGUCACGGAGUAACAAAAGAAUGUUGCGCAAAUGCACCUUAUGGUCCUCCAUAUUUUUAUUGAAAACAAGAAUAUUGUCCAAGAAAAUCUCUAUAAACUCAUGAAGAUAACACCCAAAUACCUCUGUUAUCAACCGAGUCAAAAUGGCUAGUGCAUUCAUCAAACCAAAUGGCAUAAUUGUAAACUCAAAAUGCCCAAAGCUUAUGUUGAAUGUUAUCUUGGAGAUAAAUGCAUCAUCCAUUGCAAUCUAAUGAUAUCCACUUCUCAAAUCAAUCUUGGUAAACACUCGUGCUUCACCAAGCUUGUCUAAAAUAUUAUCCACACAUGGCAUUAGCAUCUUAUCCUUCACUGUCUUCUUGUUCGAGGCAUGGCAGUCAAUACACAUUGGCAUGGAAUCGUCCUUCUUCACAAGCAAGGCUGAAACACUAAAUAGAAACUUACUUGGUUAAAUAAAUCCAAACUCAAGUAACUCUUUAACUUGUCGUUGAACUUUUUGCUCCUUUACAUAACUUAACUGAAAUGAACGCCAGUAAAUUGACUGUGUCCUCGGCUCUAAUGUAAUCCCAUGCUCUACAUCUCGUAAUGGAGGUAACCUAUGAGGAAGUUCAGAUGGAAAAACAUCAGAAAACUCGUUGAGUACAUCCCAUACUACUGCUUCUCCCCCACACGUGCCUUGGUCCCCCAAAUCACGAACAAACAGCAAGUAACUCGAAAGUGCUUUUCUAUUAUAACAAGUUUGCUUCAAAGAUGUAGUAGAGAACAUAAUAACUAGCGGUUGAACUCCUUCUCCAAACUACACACCUUUAACGCCGCUAUACUCCAGUUAGACACAUUUAAUACUCCACUUUAUCUUUGGAUCCACCUUCACUAACCAUGGCAUCCCAAAAAUGAAAUCCACAUAAUGGAUAUCCACAACAUAAAAAGUCUCCACAAGUGUGGUGGUUUCAACCAACACUUCCAGCCCCUCUACACAAACAUUGAAAUGUUGAGUAAAAGUAAUUGCACCUUCCACCAUGUAUGGAAGAACUCCUCGUGUGACCAGGCUAUGCUUCACAACAAACUUUGCUGAAACAAAGUUGUCAUCACUCCCACUAUCCAGUAAAAUUUGCAUUGGACCACCAUCAAAUACACCUUCUAACAUUAAAGUUGAUUCAUGAGUAUCCUCGAGUUCCAUUUUGUUCCAUACAUAAUUGAGUUGGCGAACAAUGAUCGAAAGCCUUUUCUUUCGACCAGAAUGGUUGUCCCCAUCAUCCUCAUAUUGCAAAGUUUGUAACUUUUUAGCAUCGGAUUUACCAUCAAUAAAAGAUUGGCCAUUCUUCUUGCCCUGCUGUUUGUUCUUCAACUAUGGACAAUCAGCCUUGUAGUGUCUAAACUGGCCACAAUGAUGACAACUUUGUUUAUAAUUCUUCACAAAGAACUUCUACUUCUUUGACCCUUUUGCAUCCGAAGUAGUCACCACAAACUUUAACUUAUGGUGCUUAUUCCCAUCCUUGUGUCCACAGUGAUCACGACAAUUCUUGACAGAAGGACUUUGCGAAUGCUUGCAAGACUUAUGCUUAUCAUUGUCAAGUCGACAAGUUGUAUCAAAGAACUUCUCUAAACUCUUUCUAGGUUAAGAAUAAUGCAAGUGUUGCCGCAUGCUCUCACUAUGAAGACCAUCAAUGAAGUAGGACCUAUUCUGAUCUGGAUCCUUUGUUAGAACACAGCUAAUCAAACAAGUAAGCUUCUAAAUAUAGUCCUCGAGUGUCAUUUUCCUUUACUAGAAAUGUCAAAAUUUUGUGCGAGCAUUCUCCACAUUGUAGUGAGGGGCAAAACGUAAAUGGAAAGCAGCCUCAAACUUAUCCAUAGUAGACACUAAUGGUUUUUUAUUUGCAACACAAGACUCCUUAAGCCAAUUCCACCACCGAAUACCUGCAUCAUGCAAAACCAUUGGAAUAGCCACUAACGCCUUUAUAUCUGGAAUUCCCUUAGCAACCAAGAAUUUCUUCACAUUGGAUAGCCAAGCAAGACACUCAUCCACACCACCAUCAUUGGAAAAGGUUGGAAUCUUGAGUCGAUCUACCAAAGAAGGCUUACUUGGAGUGCUACCAUGUCCAACCUCAAGUGCCUCAACAUGCCCAUGCAUGGUAUCCAUCAUGCCAUGCAUCUCGUCUUGCAUCUCGUCUUGCAUUUCUUGUUGAUUUCGAUUAAAGGUUUGUAGUUCAUGAACAACAUCUUGAAUGGUCCAAACCUCCGCAACUCCAUAAGCACUAUCUUCGGCACCACCAUCGACAAUAGGAUUCCAGCAUUUAGCUUGGUUGGCCAUUAGAACCAACCCCUCUAAUAUUAAUGUUAUGAUUUGGUGAAAAAAAACAAAGAUCUAGUCACUUUGGACUAUGCUAUGCCAUCUCUUGAAGUUACUCACUGUAGCGCAUGUGGUUUUGACCCUUUAUCCUAUGGUGAUUUACCAUAGGAUAACACCACGAAGCGGAACCUAAACCCUCUAUGUGCCAUGUGAUAGAUGCCACGGUCAUAUGCCACGUGUCCAUAGGAACCUGAAGUUCAAGGCCUUGGGCCACUGAACGAAGGAACAGUGCAUAACUCCCAAGCGUGAAGCCAAAGAGUGAUGGAACCGAACCACGGAGCAACUCCCGAGCAUUAAGCCCGAGGAGCGAAGGGACAGGAGCCCGGAGCGACUUGGAACAGUCCUAGAGUAACCAGCAUCCCAAUGCCAGGAGUAGCACGCAAAACGGAGCCAAACAGAGUCUGGCACUAUUUCGGCAUACCGGUGGCCUAACGCGAGAAUAUGGGUACUCCACCAACUAGCAUGGGCUUAGACCCAAGCCGGACGCAGAACAAGGACAGGCACACAAGCGAGAGCUAGACUAUGCCUCAGGUUGGUCAGCCAUGCCCGACCUACCCACUAUCCCUACUAUACCAUUUGGAACCCCCUAUAGCCCCCCCCCCCCCCCCCCCCUUGAGGAACACAUGCUUUGGGCUUUCACCCCAAGCUUCCCUUAGUAUCAGGAGUUAGUCUCUGGGACAAGCUCGAAAUUUACUAAAUAUGGAAUGUCUCUAGAUUGUGAAUUUGGAUAUGGGACGAACACUAUUGUGUUCAAACCAAUCUCUACAUUCCGUAGAUAUGCCAAAUGAGCAAAUCUGGACACUUUCCAUAAAUAGCAUUUGGGACCGAAAUGAGACUAAAACAAAGGGCAUGAUAGCGAGGGUGUUUGGCAGACAUGGUAAGCUAUCAUGUAGCGAUAUUGAGGGACUAAUCUCAAUAUACAAGGGUUCUUGUCACUAGCAAGUGCAAGACAAAACGAGACAGGAACUCCUUACCGGGCUAAGUAUGCUUAGCUAAUAACACGUAGGAAUUCCGUCUUUAUGCUCGUCCGGUCUAAGUACACUCGAAAUGCCUAGUUAACUCCACUAGCACAAGAGGGAUUGAUAAAGGGUCCAGCAAUACUGACCUCCUGCCAUCGUGGCAGUAAGGUAAGAGUGUCCGUAAGGACUGGUCGAUAGGUAACUUUUGAUACCCGAAGUCACAUUCGUGACACUCACCACCCAACCACCCCCGAACUACCUCAAAAACUCCAUUGUGCCACCAUUCCACUGUGAGCCUUAGAGUAGGUUAAGUCCCUUAGCCUAACAUGCCUUAAUAUACCCUUGAGCCUCCCUUUGACCGAUGUUGACUACGUGGUCAAAGCUAGUGCCUAACAUCACGAGCAUCUUGUUUCCAUAUUCACACCAAUACCUUAUAUUUUGUUAAAAAAAUAUACAUAAUUAAUAAUAAAAAGCUUGUGUUUUUGGGUCAUUUUAAAUCUCCAGAUCACAAUUUUUGUUGAAAAACUGCCAAAAAUCCACUUUAUCACAAAAGGCUUCGAAAACGAAUGCUAAAUUACAUCACUAACUCAUAUGAGCUUUGACAAAGAUAAUGCAAUUGUUGGAAGGCAUUAUCACAAUCAUCGGCAUGUCCGAAUGUGCAUUUGAAGAUGUCUGGGAGAACAUUCCAAUCCCCAUGAGUGGUUACACUCAAACUAUUGUACCACUGUAGCACCAUCCCUUGGAGAUACAUGGGAAACUCAUGCAAAUAUUGAGUAUCAUCCCAGAAAUGAUAUGUGGCAAUCACCGUGAAGUGAUCGAACCAAUGGUACACAUCAUCCCCAGAAUUCCCAUGAAAGAACUCUGGCCGAACGCAAGGAUUGGCACCAAGAGCAAAAAGAGUUGUACCACGUGCUAUGAAUGCCACCAUCAAUUGAAUUUGGUUGUUCAAUUGCAAUUGCAUAGCAUCAAGCAAUUGCAUCAACUGCUGCUCUAGAGUUAAUGGAAGAGGAGACUACUGCUCUGCCAUGAAAAUAAAUGAAAAAGGAAGAAGCAAAAGAAGGGAGAAAAAAAAAACUAAAAGGAAAGGGAGAUCUAAACAAUGUAAAAGCUAAAUCUAAACCAAAAUCCCAAAAGGAAAGAACAAAAAAAAGAAAAUGGAAAAAACUAGAUCUAAACUAAAAUCCUAGGGUAUAACUCUAAAGAACUAGUGUGGCCAGGGAAGGCUAGUAUGACUCAAGAAGGCUAUGCCAUAUGAUGAGUGAUAAUAUGAAUGUUAGAGAGUUCAAGGCUAAGGUGAACAUGAAUGGAUAAGUGAAAUAACUUAGUGAAAUAUUCAAAAAGUUAUUCUACCUCUUUUGGGAGAUCAAAUGGUUAAUGCUCUCAAUCUAAGUGUGGGUAGCACUGUCUACUUGGAUAUCUUACUUGACUCAUUAGAACUUUGCUUUAGCCAUAUGAUUAGAGCAUUUUGGUGGCAAAAGGUGGGGAGAGUAUUUAUAAAACUUGCAUUAGGCUAUAAUGUUUUGAAAUGUCAUCCCAAAUUCCCAAAAAGGAGUGGUCCUCUUACUUAGUAACCAAGGGUAUAAUUAUAUGGUGAGGAAGUCUCAGAAGUUAAUAGGACUUAGUGGAUAAAUGGGCUUUGGGGCUUUGACCUAGUGGUGGUGUUGAUAAGCAUCUUUUUGUAUUAUAAAAAUGUUAAUUCCUCCUUUAGGUACAUCCUUAACUCCUUGGAUUGAGGUGAAAGCUAAAGCAUGCAUUCAUAUGGAAGGGGGAGCUAAGGGGGUUUUAAAUGUAUAAUAGGGAGUGGUUAAAAGUAUAGUUGACCAUCUGAGACAUUAGUUUGACUUUCAUUAGGCUAUAUUGCUUUUUAUUAUCUAGCUUGGGCAAUUGCUCUAAUUAAUGGGGUACCCAUCUCCUCAUAUUAAGCCAUUAGUAUAUUGAAAUUGUAUUAGACACCAUUUGAUAUUGUUUUGCAUACAAGAGUUGAAUACAGAGAGCUAAUGUUUGUAAGGGAUAUAAAUGCAUAUUAGAGCUUUGUUUUAUAGUGCAACAAAAUUGAAGUUUGGCUCCAACUUUAUGUAUACUACAGUUUAAGCUCAAACUCUAUACCAUACUAGCUAGUGGAGUUUCUAUAUCCUUUUAUUAGGCCACCAAUAUAGUGAAAUAGUGCCAAACUCUAUUUGGCUUCGUUUUGUAUAUUAGUCUUAGUAUUGGGAUGCUGAAUACUCUAGAACUAUUCUAAUGUUAAAUCAAGCUUUUAGUCAUGUAAAGUGUGAUCAUAUUAAUGUUAUGUUUGUCCAUGAUAUAUUGCCAAUACUAACUUCCAUAGGAUAUGAUUACACAAUGUUUUUUGUUCUUGAUGUCCUAUUAUUUCCCACUAACAUGGAUUGUGAUCAUGAUAUCAAUUAGAGAGUUAUGGAUAAUACAGUUUAGUUCUUAGAGGAUGUUUAAUGAUCAAGCUUAUAGAAAGAUGAUGUGUACAAGCUCAAGUAAAUCAUUUACAUUCUAAUUUCAUGUCAAGCCUCUAUGAAUACAUAAAGAAGCACACAUUAAUUUCAAAAGACAUAGAAAUGUAGGAUUCCUAGCAUUAAUGAGGAAUUUAAUUGUUUUAAAGAUGGAUGUGAGGACAAGCUAGAGAUUUCACAAAAUAAGUAUCAAUCUUUAAAUCUGCCAUGUGAUUCUUUCUUUUGCAUUUCUCUCUUUCCUAACCUUUUUAUUAUUUCUUGGCCUAUGCCAUCUUUUCAGAUUUCUAAUAUACUUUCCUCAUUUGCAACAUUUCUUUUUCAUAAUACGUCAAUUAUUUAUGACUCUUAUGAUUCUUAUUCUCAAUGUGAUGUUGGGCUAAGUAAUAUGGAGCAUAUAUGUGAAACCAAAAAUCUUAUUUUUGUUUCAUUAGUAGAUUAUUUCUGGUGUUGAGUAUGCUUUUGUUUUAAGGGUUGGAGUAACUUUUGCUAAAAUUUCAAGUUGAGUGCAUUUUCCCUAACAAUACUUGACAUGGGAAAAUUAAAGAAAAUUUUAAUGCUCUCAAGAGAAUGAAGAACUCCUUACUUCAGUAGUAAUUAUAUUAAAUUGGACUUAUUACUUUUGUUUUUGUCCAACACUACAUCUAGGAGGUUGCUCUCACUUUAUUUCUCUUUUGCAUCUUCGUUAUCCCCUCCUCAAAGGAAAAUACUGAUUUUAUUUGGGUUUGUUAUGUUUGUCCUCUAUUAUAUUUAUUUAUCCUUAUUGCAUUGGAGCUAUAAAUGUUUCAUUUGGACUCAUUACAUUUAUCUCUUUUACCCCCUUCUUUGAAGAAAAAGUGGAUAAAAAAGCAUUAAAUGGAAACUUUUUAAUAGUUGUCAAAAUAGAAAUGGAGAAAUAAUAAGAAAGAAAUCUUGGAUAACAAUAGACCUCCUUGUAUAUAAGACUUUGUCCAAGAAAAAAGGCUGGAUAACAAAGAAUAUCUUAUUAUAAACUAUUUCAGCCAACAUAAAAUAAGUAAUAAUCUAAGACUACCAUUAACUCAAAUCUACGACCAUCAGUAAAACUUGUCUCUAUGUCUUCCCUUUGGUCAACCUUUGAGACUCAUACGUUUAUGGAGUCUUUAGCUAGUAGACAGAUUUAGAAAUGGGAUGUAUCAUUUAUUAUUAUGGUAUGUUAUGGACUGCAAUAGUUCUUAAAUUCCCUUGCUUCGGUUCAAAGUUAUGGUUUUGAGAUUGGUUUGAGCAUUUAUUAGUUGCAAAUAAGGCUGUAGUUGGCUCUUCAAAAUUUCAUAGUUGGAUGAUAUUUAUGCCAUAGUCUUAAGUUCUAUUUCUACUAUGGUUGUCAGCAAGCUAAUAUAUAUAAGCCAAUCCAACAGCUACCAAAAUCCCACUACAUUAAUAUUAGUAUACAACAUCACUUCGACCUCACAUCAUCCCCUCCUCUCAGAAUGAUAGAAGACCAUCAGGGUUCUCUCAUAGAUGGGCUAGGAUCUGGAGGAAUAUUAGGAAGCAUCAGUGGAUUUGUAGGUGGUAUCAAUUAUUCUUGAUCCCCUUAUACAAAUCGUUUCAACCACUGCACAUGCACAAUUUCUAGAGGAUCAACCUGGUGGACGUUAUGCCGAAUCUCAUAAACUUGCAGUCCAACUUGCCACAACACCUAAUACAAUCCUUUCCACUAAGCAAAAAGCCCCUUACAUAAACCAUGUACCAUAAGAUGGGAAAAAGAAUUAACACCAAGUCAUUCACUUUGGACUUUGUAGGUGGAUAAUGAUAGGAGUUAUAGCACUGUUGUUGUCACACUUGUACAUAGCCUAAGUGUUCGGUAGACUCUACCCUAACAAGUGGAAGAAUGCUCAUCAAAUACUAAUCCCAUGACCUAACAUCGGCAACUCAUAGCAAUCACAAAGGUAAACUCAACUCUAUUAGUAAUAUUGAAUCAUGACUAUAAAAGAGUUUAUAUGGUGAAGCACUAACAAAACUCCACAUUGCUAUAAUAUAUGCAUACCGAAGAGAUAGCAAAUAACCAUCUCAAUCUAAAUGCUAAAAGUUCACAUACUUCACAAUCAUCUCUUUGAAUGUCCAAAUGAGCCAUUCCACCAAACUAUCUUACUGUGAAAUACUCAUAUAUUUACUCAUGUAAAUACUUGUGAAAUUAUAGCAUAUCCCAUGGUAGUAGUAUGAUCAAAUGGAUCAAUCAAGCUAUAGACCUCUGUCUAUAUCUGUUUUGAUGAUGACAAUGGACUUGGGAACAAGUUGCUACAAAAGACAUAUGUGAUAAUAGUUUGUGACCACACCACCUCAUGCUAUCAUUCUACAGUCAGGCCCAUGCAGGAAUCCCAUGGCAGACUUCUAGAUGAAGGAUAAGGAGGAACACUGAGUCUGACCUACUAGCCACAAUGCAAAACGUGCAUCUCCUGCAGCUCAGAGCCAACCUGCCUGUCACAUAGGCAUUGACCUGGCCAUCCAGGUGGCAUGGAUAAGGCACAGCUGCCACGUGGAAUAUUUCUAGAGGUCUGGCCAGAUAUUCAUGUCUCGUGUUAAUUGAGGCAAUUCCUAAAGUCUUGAGACAUUCAAUAUUAUGUACCAUAGGUUGUUAUACCUUCCCACGCGCUCCACAAUGGUCUAUGUACGAACUGUUGUUUGUUCUAAAUUUUCAGGUUUUCCUUGUUAAUUAAUGCAUUAAGGCAUUCUGGAGUUCUCCAUAAGUACGUGGCCACAAGAAGGAUAUAUAAGAAUGCAGCAGCAAGUGAAAAUCAUAACACAAUGGCUUCCCAUCUCUCUUUCUACUUUGCUCUUGCUGUUCUUCUGGCCACUGUGGUGGAUGCUUCGAAUUCCAUUUCUUCGACAUCAGAUGAGGCUGUGGGCAUCUCUAAGUCACUGUUUGCAUGGUGGAAGCUGGAUGAGAAGAUAGGCUUCCUGGUCGCAGACUCGUCUGGGAACAAGGCAACUGGGCUUGUGAAGCAGGCCGGGUCCCAACUUGCUCACACAACUGAUGGUAUUGUGUUUGAUGGUGCAACAUACAUUUCCAUGGGCACCACGCCCUCUCUCUCUGGGCAGACUGAUUUUGCUGUUCAUGCUUGGGUGAAGGUCCCACCCCACAUCAAGCAGCAACUGUGCGUCAUCCAGCAACGCUCUGAUAUCUAUGGUGAGUGGUGGCUAUGGAUCCUCAAUGGCAAUCUAUGGUUUACGGUGUACAAUCGUGAGUACCAGUUCAACAUUAAGGGAACAGUGCCAGUCACUGAUGGAACUUGGCACCAUGUUGCUGCAGUCCGAAAUGGCACUGUUGGGUCUAUCUACGUUGAUUCUAAACUUGAUAAGUCACAGAACGGCUCCAAGAUAGUCAACCUCAAUUCCAGCCUACCUGUCUUCAUUGGUUAUGACCCCCGUGACAACAAACGCUACUUUCAUGGUGAACUCAAGGAGGUUCAGAUCUUCAGUGCUGCUGUUGUGCCUGUGGGCUUCAACCCAAUGUCUAGCUAUGGAAUCAUGUAAGCUUAUGCUCCUCUGACAUGGAUUCAUAUACGUAAAUAAAGAGGAGCUGGUUUGUUAUAUUCUAUGAAGUAUGGCAUGCUUCUUAUGAAUUGAAUGUAGAAUAUACAUUUCUCUAGUGUCCAUAGUUCCACAAUCCAACAAAGAUGUAUGGACAGAAUGGCAGCAUUCAACAUGCGUGGCAGUGCUUCGCCAGAAUUCAGCAGCUGACUGUUGUUU